AACGAUGCCGUUGAGAGUUGCGACCAAGCCUGCUCUAGCUUCUGCAGCGUGCAUGUUGGCAGCGCCACCGUGGUUGCUUAAGCAAAUGCAUCCAACUAGAUCGUCCUUGUGCUGAAUAAUUGGAUAUCGUAUCCACUUAAAGCUGCCUUGUGUAGUACGUCUUUGUGUCUCUCUUUAUAUUCCAAUAAGGUCGGUGAUCUUGAUGCCACACACUCAGAUGUGUGUUCAUCUCCAGAUACUACUCCAUGCUACCUGCCCUUUGUGUUUUGUUCAAUAACUGGGUAUCAUAUCCCAACCAGUAUGCCGUCUGUUUUGUGUUUGUUUCCUUCUAGUUCCAAAAGGGUCAUCAUGAUGUUACCUUCUUUCAAUAUGGUGCUUUGCAUGACUACUAUUGUAUGGUACCAUCUUGUGGCCAAUAAGUACAUCUUAUCCUAUGACCUUUGCUAUGACCCUUUGCAAAUAAGUAGAAGAUUGUUAUAAGCGUCAAUACUCCUUAUAAAUUGAUCGCUGCUGUGAGUUCCCUUUCAGCUUAUCGUAGGCAUACAUUAUUGCUAGCACGGUAAAGCCAAUCAACACGAAUGAUGAAGUAAAUGUAGCGGUACUUCUGUAUACCAACACCCUUACUUAAAUGUACCGGUGUCAUUCCCUACUGGCACAUAUAUUCUUAUAUGCUAGCCAGCUUGUAAAAUUAACCAAUUAAAAUAAUUAAUUCAAGAUAGAAAUAACUUAUCGGCUUCUCGAAGCAUGUGUAAUAUGAAUCGCUUCAUCUAUAUUGCUUUCAGGAUUUUGGGUAACUAAAUUUAACAUUUGCACAUACAAAUGUUAAAGUACAAAUGUUAAAUCUAGUUACCCAAGCAGAAUAUGAAUAUACUCUAUAGUAUAUAUAUACUAUAUAAAUCUAGUUAACAUUUAGUCUAAAUGUUAAAUCUAGUUACCUAAAAUCCUGAAAGCAAAAUGUAUAAAUAUAUAUCUUUUAAGGCAGUAUAAGCUUCGAUUCCUAUUGCUGCUCUGUUAAAUCUCAUCUUUCGUUGUGGCCCAACACUCUAGUAUGUAUGUUGCACCAAGCUUCCUUGAGCCGCUCUGCCCUCUGAUUUUGCUGCGUAGGGGAAUCUUUAUCAGGUUGGGCUGCUUCCAGUCAUACGAUGUGUGGCUUCAUAUCUUCUACAAGUUAGACAGGAAACCCGCGUUCUGGAAGAUUCUGCAACGUGCACGUUGGCGCUGCCACCGUGGUUGCUUAAGCAAAUGCAUCCAACUGAAUCGUCCUUGUGCUAAAUAAUUGGAUAUCGUAUCCACUGCUUAAAGCUGCCAUGUUUAGUACAUCUUUGUUUUUCUCUCUUUAUAUUCCAAUAAGGUCGGUGAUCUUGAUGCCACACACUCAGAUGUGUGUUCAUCUUCGGAUACUACUCCAUGCUACCUGCCCUUUGUGUUUUGUUCAAUAACUGGGUAUCAUAUCCUAGUCAGUGUGCCAUCUGUUUUGUGUUUGUUUCCUUCUAGUUCCAAAGGGGUUAUCAUGAUGUUACCUUCUUUUGAGGUGUCUAUGACUUUGUUAAUAUCAAUAUUAACCAAUUCAAUCUAUCUUAACUAUUUGUAAGGGGUAUGAUGUAUGCAUGAUUAUAACAAUGAUUGCGCAUACAAUCACUGCCAAAGAAACGGUCAAUACCAUAAAGACAUAUUACAGACAAUUCUCAUAAUUUAUAAUGAAUAUACAUAUUCACUACUGCAGAGACUGUCAUUUGUAUCAGCUCAUACGUGCCAGGGCAAAGGUCACCCUUGCAUUAAAAGUACAUUUGCACGGUAAAGAUAACCAACACGAAUAAUGAAGUAAACAUGCCGGUGCUUUUGUACACCAACACGCUUACUUAAAUGUACUGGUGUCAUUCCUCACCGGUAGCCGGCUUGAAAAUUAACCAAUUAGAACAAUUAUUUAUUGUAUCGGUGUGAAUUUUGACCUAUUGGAAUAUGAAUUUGACCGUUACUGCAUUCGUCAAGACUCAAGAGAGAAAUAACUGAUCGGCUUCUUAGAGCGUGUGCAAUGUGAAAUCAAGGACUGGAUGGAAGUUGAAGCGCUAGCUUCAUCUUCCGCUGCAUGUUAAUUGCUUGGAUAAGAAGUUGUAGCCGCGUAUAUAAAUAGUCCCGCUGAUGCUGUGCUCCGAAGUCUAUACUAUAUAUGCGAAAACUAGAUUGCUUUCAGGAUUUUGGGUAACUAAAUUUAACAUUUGUACAUAAAAAUGUUAGUUUACGAAUGUUAAAUCUAGUUACCCAAGCAGAACAAGAAGAUAGUAUAUACUAUAUACUAUGUAAAUCAAGUUAACAUUUAGUCUAAAUGUUAUAUCUACUUACCCAAAAUCUUGAAAGCAAAGAAAGAAUAAGUAUAUAUCUUUUGUUGGAAAAUUGGUCCACGGAGAGUGGCCUCGUUCGUUUCACCGGGAUGGAAUUCCAGUCAGGAUUACUUCCAAGUCCGGUUUAAGUGAUUCCACCCAUGUCACUCAAUUCGGCUAGGAUUCAUUCCAGGGGUGAGGAGGUAUGGUUUCAAUCCGGGCCAUCUAAUGUAGAAGGAUUCCAAUCCAGGCCGGUUUUCGUUCUAGGCUAGACUAAAACGAACAACACUUUCAAUGCAAGUCUGGUUUCAAACCGGGCCACUUCAAACCACCCGGAAUGGACCUCAUUCCGGGCCAAUCCGGUGAUAACAAACGAGGCCUUAAUGGAAUCCCAAAGCAAGAGUUCAGUGGCAUUCUAUAGUCCCAUGCUGCUAGUUUGAGUUGGUCGAAGCCAACUUAAAUAGGAGAGCUCUCUCACUUCUCUAAAAAUGUAACUGAAGGAGAGAAGGGGGCUUGGGUUACACAACGCACGCACGCACGCAUAUUUGCAUUCUUUUCGCGUAACCGACCGCGUGACUUGAAACUUGCGACGUAGCGUGCUGCUAAGUCAAGUUGAUAUAACCUUUUUGCCGUUUGCGUGUAAUCUUUUGACAACGGUCAUUGGAGGUGAUAAGCACGCAGUCAAUACCUUAAUCCUGAGUUAAUAGGGCGGUUACUACUGCCAAUUAGUGCAGCAAUUUUGUAGGGGAAACGGUUAGCAGAGGGCUACCGUCUUCUCUAUAAGAAGUUUUGGAGACGUUCAGGAACACACAUGUACAUGUGAGAGACCCACGGAUUCCUUCCCUUCUCCCUUUUCCAUCUGGUGAAGUGUGCUAUGGUACUGAGCUGCUGGAUCUCGCCGGCUCUUCUCCUUGGCGUGCACCGAGGAGGAGGGUGAGCGGUAUCUCUGAGCUAUUGCCGUCAGGAAGCCUGCACGAGGGACAACAAUAAAGUUUUUAGGUAGCGCCUGCCUAAUCUUCGAUCUGCACUGCAACGUGUAACCCUGCAGCAACUCUACACGAGGACGGAGCACUAAUCUGUAAGUCCUAGAUUGGUUUCUUACAUAGUUGUAGGUUACACAAGAUCUAGAAUGGUUACAUACCAAUUAUUAUGGGUUACAUGAUGUUUUGUACGGUUUCGUCUAUUUUGCAUAUGCUAUUUUUUCUAUUUUGCAUAUGCUAUUUUUACAUACCGUUUACAUGCAUAUGUUAAUGGUUACACCUAGCUAUUUGAAUCUAGAAUUGGGUUACAUAGCAGUAGCAAUGAGUUACGUAAUAUGCCUCACGUUUAUAUCUGGUAGAAUUUAACACGUAUCUCCAACAUAUUUUGAGGCAGUAUAAAUUUCAAUUCCUUUUGCUGCUCUGUUAAAUCCCGUCUUUCGUUGUGGCCCAACACUCUAGUAUGCAUGUAGCACCAAGCUUGUUUGAGCCGCUUUGUGCUUUGAUUUUGCUGCGUAGGGGAAUCUGUAUCAGGUUGGACUGUUUCUUUGUCUUGCGAUGUAUAGCUUCAUAUCUUCUAGAGGUUAGACAGCAAAACCCGCAUUCUCUUAAGGCAACAACCCGAAGAAUCUGCAGCGCCUCUGAUAUAUCACUGCUGCAGAAACGAUCUUUAGUACUGAUCUCCAACCCUCUUUAGUAUCGGUUGGGCAACCAGUACCACUAUGUCGGUACUAAAGGGAGUUCUCUAGAAUCGGAUCAAAUAACCGGUACUAAAAGGGCUCCUUUACUACCGGUUGGUAACAACAAUAGGUAGUGACUUUUUUGCACCCAAAAAAUUAAAGAAUAACAGCCGGGAGGCUCGCACACACACGCAUCAUGAGUAAUAUGCGCGUGCAUGGUUUGUGGGAUUUCAACCCACGACCAAGCUAUAAGAACGUAGUUACAACAAAUCAAACACUUAGACAUUUUAGAGCAUCCCAAAUAACUACAAAUUCUAUAGUUUACCAUAUACCAUAAAAUAUUAGUUAAAAUAAGAGCAUACACAUGUCGGAAGAGUCCCAAUGCACCGGUUGAGGAUCAGACCAGGCACUUUGAAUGCACAUGCCAUAAGAUAAUUCUGCAGGACAAUGAUUGCAAUAAUGGACCAUCGAGAAGAUAGGGGCGAUGGGGUUGCCUCAUCAAUUAUCACUUGGCGCAACAAGACCAGCAAAGUCUUUAUCGACAGGGGUGGAUCAAGGGGUGGGGCAGGCAGAGCUCCAGUCCUCCUACCGCCGCUCGAACAAUGGAGCCCCCUUAGCCCCUCCAUAAAUUUUUAGGUAGAAGAAAAAAGAAGAGAAGGGAAGCAAGGGGAAGAAGAGGGAGCCCCUACUAAGUAGGUCGCCAUCGUGCUUCCCAACGCAUGAUCGCCGCACCGCAUCCAUUCCUCUACAAGCCUUCAGCGUCUCUCCCGCCGCUACCUCUGAACCAUGUGCAGCUAUAGACCCAACUAGUGUGUUGUCGCCCAUCUCAGUCCCAACAGAGCGGCGGCGGCUGCCAACACAAAUCUCCCUCCGCCUCUUCUUCACGGUCGAUGGCCGCCACAAGCAUAAACCUCGCCUUCGCAUCCAAGCAAAAGGGUCGUUGGGGUGCCUUCUUGCAUCACUUCUCAGCCUCCUUCACUUGCGGCCAGCGAAGAACUGCGCCACCACCUCGGGUGCGUGCCACCACUCCAGGGCCGCUACCCCAUGCCUGCGGCCGCCACCGGCCACCACGCGUGUGCAACCGCGUUGCACCGCUUCCCUGCUUUGUGCCACCACUACUGCUGUACCACCAGCUCCACCACCUUGGGAUGGUCGCCAGGGUGACUGAUUGGUGGAUUAUUACUAAAAAUAAGUUCCUUAUUAUCUGCAACUACUAUUAACUCAGAGAUACAUGCGUCUUUUCCUUCUCCUGCUAAUAGGUCCUAAAAUAUCUAGGAUGCUUUAUAUUUCUGGACAGAGGAAGUAUUUGAAUAAAAUGAACCAAUUUAAAAAAAAUGUGUUGUACACUACUACAGAAAGACCUAUCAGUGUCAAACCCAAAAAUGUCGUCACCGCCAGUUUUAGGCAUCGUUGGUGAAAGGUUGGCGGUGAUGGGCAUCCCCUUCAACAACGGCACUGGAGCCGACGGUGAUUGACAUUAGAAAACAAAAAAGGGAACCCCACCUAGCCACCCCUGCAACCCAGCCGGCCGUGCCUCCCCUCAUGCCCACCACCUCGCCUCCCCCGUGACCCCCCGCCGGCGCCCUUGUGCCUAGCCCCCUCGCCUGCCCGGCCGGCCACCCUCGUCAUGAGAGAGAGAGGUGCAUGUUGUAUAAUUGCGUGAAUUUUUGAAUGUUUAAUUUUAUGUAAGUUCCAUGUAAUAAAUUGUACAAGUUUUAUUGUAUAUAUGAAUUCCAUAUAUAUAUAUUUAUAAUUUAAUGUAUGGUUUCAUGUGUAUAUUUCAAUCAUGUGUAUAAUUAGUAGAUUGCCGAUUUUCUUUUUCUACUAGACAAGGGUUGAUGUAUAAUUACGUGUAUAUGUUUAUUGUAUGGGCAAUUAGGACAAGUUUUGUAUAAAUUUCUUUUAUUUCAUGGUUGUUGUAUGGUUUCAUGUAUAUACAUUUAUUGUACUACUUGAGACAAUUUUAAUUUAAUAUUUCUAUGAUUACAUGUGUGUAUAACUAAUUGUAUUAUUAGUUAAGAUGGGAGCCAAAGAGGAUGAAAGGUAUAUAAUAGAGUAGAUUAUUGCUGGCGGUAGUGGCUCAAACGUUGCAAGAACCUACACCGAGGGUGAGGGUAGCUAGGUGGACAUGUACCUCAACAUGUCCAGUGAUGGCAAUGACGAUGAGGAGCACGAGCAUGACGUCUAUGAUAAUGCGGAACAAGACAUUGCAGAAUUGGAAGGUUCUAAUGAGGUGUGCUUCAUGUUGACGAUCUAGUUGGCUUUUUUUCUUUGGUCACACCUUAGUUACCAUAGAACUUCGUCUCGGGAGAAGAUUGGUGGUGCUAUGGUGAUUGGAAUUUUAUUGCCUCCAAAUUUGAUUUCCAUCGAAUCAUAUCCCUUGUAUUUAUCUUCUUUUUAUUUGUGAGAGCAUCUUCUUUAUGCUUGCAAAACAAUUCAAGUGCACAUACUACCCCUAGGGUGAUGAUUGGGAGUAGAAACAAUUGCCAACAAAACAACACCACAUCCUAAGAUUCUUAACUUGUGGCAUAAUUAAUCUAGUGAAAAGAAAGAUAAAAACCUAAUGGGUGUACGUGAGUGCAAUGUGUAUAUGCAUAUGAGUGGAAGGCAUAUAAGCAAAGACAAUAUUUACACAUAGUUCUAAACACGAUGUUUACAGCUAGGUUGCUGAAUUUCUCCAUAGCUAUAGAGAUUAAUUAACCAAGGUCAAAACACGAUGUCUAUCCCAAGAUCAGUAAUUCUUUAUAGCACAAGAAAAAGAAAGCGCAUUGCAAAGUUUAUAAACCAACCAAUACAGCAUGAAAACAAGAUGAAUAGCUAGCAAGGUUUAUUAAAUUGAAUGAUGACGGUCUGCAAGCAAGUUUGAACACCAUCUUUACACAAGAUUGCAAAUGGAAAAUGCCCAUAUGAAGCACUAACAUGGAUAUGAAAUCAUUCAUCAUAAAGCGUAAAGAACAACCAAGUAGUUUUUAAUGGCAUAUACAUGUAUAAUAUAGUUUAGGUGCUAAAAUUGAUAUUCACAGCUAUUUUGGGCUCCAAUUCGCGUCCAAACCAACCUAGCCCACAGACCACACCCGGCCGGCCAGCUCAUCGGCCCAUCUAGUCACUGAUCCUUCCACCACCACACUCAGCCCAUCAGUCGGUCAGGUCCCGAGCUCCUGCCUGACCUAGUCCGCUACCGCCGCCAGGCGCCAAGCACAGCCGUACGCACUGCACCGCCCCCGUCCACCCAUGUCCGCUGCGCGGCAAAGCCGCGCCCCCCAGCCCCCGCGGUGAGAUCUCGACGCCCGCUGCCGCCAGACCCCAUUAGGCCUCCACCGGCAAGUCCACCCACAGUCCCACACGACCUAGUCCGCUNNNNNNNNNNNNNNNNNNNNNNNNNNNNNNNNNNNNNNNNNNNNNNNNNNNNNNNNNNNNNNNNNNNNNNNNNNNNNNNNNNNNNNNNNNNNNNNNNNNNNNNNNNNNNNNNNNNNNNNNNNNNNNNNNNNNNNNNNNNNNNNNNNNNNNNNNNNNNNNNNNNNNNNNNNNNNNNNNNNNNNNNNNNNNNNNNNNNNNNNNNNNNNNNNNNNNNNNNNNNNNNNNNNNNNNNNNNNNNNNNNNNNNNNNNNNNNNNNNNNNNNNNNNNNNNNNCCCCCCCUCCACCAGGACUGCUUGUUGGCCCCCACCGCGAGGUAAUCAAAAUGGACGGCUCAAUCACUCAAUCUGUUGACAUGAUGCACACGGUUGCAAAAAUAGAUGUGUCAAAAUAGAUAUAUUGCUAAUUGCUAUAGAUGCAUACGGUUGACAUGAAGAAGUUAAAAAUGACAUUUGGUUCCUUGUAGGCAGUCAAAAAUGAAGUCAAAAAAUAUUGAUCUGAAAUCAAUGUGGGAAAGGGCUACGAAGACACACAGAUUCCCUUGUGAACUUUUUAUGUCAUUCGUCUAAAUAUUUUUUUGCAAUGGGCAUACCCUACUCUGAAAUCCUGGGUCUGCCACUGAUGAUGAUGGUCUAAACAUAAAACAAGCCAAGAUUAAUUAGCCACAACUGAAAUUAAACAAAGGUUAAUGUCAUUGACCCUAGCUCUAUCCUAGCUUUUACAAAAGUCCCGGCACAUAUAGUGGUUGGGCCCACUCUCUCUGCUUCCCUCUCUGCUGCAUGCAUGCACACGAGCAACGGGAGGCCCCACAAAGCCCAGAAGGGUUCGGCUGAACCCGGCCGAUCCAAUCUGAGCACCACUCCCUCCCAGCCUUCGCGCAGAUGCUCCUCCAACAUUCCUUGACCCCUCCCUCAGCGUCCCAUUGGGUUUAACAUUGCAGGAGAGGAGUCCCUUUUUUAAAAUCUCAACCACCUCCUCUCCUCAUUCACUCCACUCUCAUCUCCAUCAAACUCACCAAGAUCCACAUCGGAAAUCCCUGCUUACCACCAUGGCUGGCAAAGCCCUCGUCCCUUUCACCAACUUGGGCUUAACCAUUGAUCUCGAUGGGGAAAUCACUCCGGAAAUAGGGCAGUGACCCAGAGCAAAGGUGAUGCCAGAGUGUAGAUAGCAGUUAGCAUGCCAAAUUGUGAACCGCAAGCGCUCGGAUUAGUUGUUUUUUUUCCCUUAGAGAUUCCCCCAAGGUUUAUCAAUCCAUGGAACAAGGGAUUUGCACAUUUCACUAAGCAUUAAUCAAUGUAAUUGAAAGCUUUUUGAAUAAGAUAUGAUUAUGCUAACAAAGGAACUAAGCAAUCUAGAUUAAGAUGGAUAGAGAGUAAAGGUUGUGAACAAGAUAGAUUAAACGCUUAUAGAUGCAAUCACCAUGCAUGAAUGAAUUAGAUCUAGGUGUUAUUGUGAGUGGUUGUGAACCAUACCCCAACACUUUCCCACCCGCAACAUUGUCACUACAUGUGGGUACUCAACUAUCGAAACAUAAGAACACAUCAAGAUGAUCAUUCUAGGUAAGCAAAUAAGCAACCCAAAGUAGCGCUGGCCAGCCUUUUCAUGAAAGAGCAUCAUCAAGAUAAGAUUGAUAACAAAAUAGAUCUCAACCAAAGGUUCAGCGAUUACAAAUCAAGAUCUCCGUAUAACCCCGAUGACAAAUAGAGGUAUUACCCCCAUGAUCUUACACAUGUUGAUGAAUUUUAGGGUAAAGGACGCCCUGUAGAUCAACUGGACCAAAGAUGAUGAUGAACAGGGGCAGGGAAGGCCCAGGCUGAUCAGCCUGGGCACUUUUGAGCCGAUCAGCUUAGGGAGUUUCCUCCUCCCCUGGUGCUCCUCUUCGCGUGGCCUCCUCUGGAUCCAAUCUUCUCUUCAUUUCUCCUACUUGUGGUGGCAAUGGAUGGUGUUUGCAUGGUGAUUUCCUCUUCUCCCCAACUCUCCCUCCUUGAAGUCCAUGAGGGGGUAUUAAUAGUCUCCAAUAUGCGGCAGCUCUGGGUCAAUGUCGGUGAAAAAACCCUAGAGAUCAUCGUACACUUCACGCUGAGGAAACAAGAGGUCGACCGAGCCCUGGGAUAGACCAAGAGGAUCAGCCUAGAGGGUCCCAGGCCAAUCGGUCUAGGCCCUUCCUAGCCCUUCUAGUCCUCUCCUUCCUCGUGCUGGCUUUUCUCGAUGACCCUUGUCCAAAUAUCCAUUAAGCUCUAUAUACAUACCCCCUUGAUUAUGUCGUAUUUCCUGUCAAAAUACAAUGCUCCAAAAUACAACACAUAUGCAAUAAUAGGGUUAUUUCAUGUGCCAAUUGGUGCGUUAGUAUACGAAUAAGCAUGAAAAUACUGGUUAAAUGACACUAAAAGUGUGUCAAUAACGAGCACCAACAAUCCCCCCACGCUUAGAUCUUGCUCGUCCUCGAGCAAGUCUAGCGACUAAAAGAUCUUGAAUUAAACAUGAGCAAGCGAGUCAAGUACCUAGCCUUGAAACAAAAGAUUAGAGGAGCAGCAAAGAUAAUCAAAGUCUGGGUGUUCAAAGAUUUAUCUAAGCAAAGAUUCCCCUACAACUAUUAUUCAGAACCAAGUAACUUCAAGAAUCAACUACACUUAUUUUCUGGCUUUUUUCAGAGGGUUUUUCUUUCAUCACAAAACAAUCUCCCUGCAACAAAAUUGAAAAAAGAAUUAUUUUCCAGGUGCUUACAUGUCGUUUAAAUGAAUGUUCGCUAUCCUACUUAUUUGCAAGCUCUCAUCUCUCAAAAUUCAUUCAAUUAUAUGGUGGAGCUUGGGUAAGGUUAGCUAGAAUCAACACGUAUAUUAUUGAAUUAAGAAAACCCUCUAACGGUAGCCUACCUUUCGAGCCAUUGAUCAUAAGAAUAUCCACAUAAUGUGAAGUUUUCAAGGAUGAGAAUAGAAUGGUGGACAUGUGCAAAGGAAAAGAAAUAUAGUGACUCUGAGGCACAAGCAAUGUCCUCGUCGUUGGAUUGCAUAUGGUUGGAAUGAAAAUCUGUUCCUUAAACAAGUCCAUCUUUUCUUUGCACCACUCUUGAUCUUCAUGACAGUAAAAACUCCUCCUUUAUUUCUUUCUCUCUUUUCCUAUUAUUUCUUUUUAUUUGUCUCAAUACUUUUCUUUCUUUAUUUCUUUAUUUUAAUCUCUUCUCCGAACCUCUUCUGAACACCACACAAUAAAAAUCAGUUUUAGAUCCUUCUAGAGACCUUCCAGGAAUUUGCUACAUGAAAACCGAGGCAAGGAGACCCCAGGCCGAUUGGCCUGGCCACUCCUUUGCUCUCCUCUAGCUCUUCUUUCUUGUGAAGCUUCCUUAUCUUGUAUCUUUCCAAAAAUUUCAUAAAGCUCAACUAGAAACGGAACACAUCUUCAUAUAAUGAGUUGUGUUCAAGGAAUUGGUAAUAAAAUUGAGAAAUUUGUGGUUCGGGUUUACGAAUUCAGUACAAAAAUAUGAUUAUUCCAAUGAAGAACUCUCAUUACUGAAUAUUGACGAGGCAAGCAUUCAAAGAUGGUAAAAAGGAUAUGAUCAAUUCUCAGAAUUAAAGCAAACCAAGAGAGAGCGAUCCUAAUUCAAUUCAAAGUGUCAAAUGUUGCUUAUGGUGGUAUGAAUAAAUAUUUUUAGGCAUUGGGUAGGAUAAAUAAAAACUCUCAACCUGGUUAAAAGAUAUUGAUCAAUCUUGUUUUUGCAGAGGUUUUAAAUAAAAAAUAAAAUUUUAAAUCACCUCCAAUUCAAAGCCUUACUCAUAAAUCAUAAUCAAAACUGAAGCACUUGAUCAUCAUAAAGCAUGGGUAUUGCAUAAACAAAUCGAUUACUAAAACUCCACAACUACGAUUUAGAAUUCAAGACAAUGCUCAUAAUCUAAAGUUGCAAAGACAAAAUAAAAGACAAGCAAGCCAAGGUAGACACUAAAAACACUUGCACGAUCCUUGAAUUUUAUUCAUGCUUCUUCUCACAAAGACGCUAAAGUAGCCAUGUAGGCCUAAGUCUUCCCAAAAGCUUAAGAAGACUACUACUUUAUCUACUUUUGGUUGAAAUAAAAAUACUAAUCUAGACUCUCACAUGAUUCGACUCGACCAAACUAGAUCCAAAAACUCAUACGAGCGACAAUCUCCCCCCCCCCUCUCAAAUCUACGACCUCCUCGUGGUAACCAUAUGGAGUACAAGGAAAAGACGCUUGUAAACGCACUAAUGACGCUACCCGGACUACUUGCACACGGAAUGGUUGUUGUUUCCUUUGCUUUGUUCUUCGUCAUGUUGCUGCACAUCCCGAAGAGCUUCCUCACGUUCCUCUGCAAGAACUUGAACUUGAACUUGUCCUCCUGACGGCAAUCAUUAUCUUCUGCCUUUUGAUCCAGAGCUUGUAAGGCUUGCAUGAUGUCAUCGAACGCAUCGAAGAGGUAGUGGAUGUUCUUCCUGCAAGCUGUGGAACAUGUACGAUCAUGCUCCUACGAUUCUGGCCCGUCGUCUUCUAGAUCCUCCUCUUUGCCCUUGUCUUGACGGUGGCCAUCUUGCUCCUUGCUCGUCUUCUUGCCUUCAGCCCGAUCCCAGUACGUGUUGUCAUCUUCUUCAUCGUCACGGCCUGCAGCACCCUAUGAUCCAUUGUCUAUCUUGUAUGAAAGAAUCAGAAGCUUGUUCUCCUCAGGGUGUCUUGCGCGGUGCAGCGUUUGCAAGUGCAAGGCUUGCUAGUUCUUUUUACACAUUGUAAUGUUCAUUGCAUGCUCUAAUUGUUCUACAUUUGUAAUUUCUUGGUGAAGUUUGGUUACUGAUCCACUGUUUGAUUAACUCUUGGGCCCAAACACUGUACUACUUCUGAUUAGAUAUCUGUAUCUUAACUUUGACCAAAAAAAAUAUCCGGCAGUUUUUGCCAUUAAAGUUUCAUAAAUCAUCUUGCAAAAAUCGUACUAUACAACAAGGGACGGUUUAUUAUAAAAUAUACGUUCCCCUUAUCACAUGCCACUUCCACUCAAAAGGCAACGAAUCAGUUUUCAAUCCUGAGUGAGCAAUUUGCUUUUAUUACCGAUGCCUCCUAUUCCCUUGUGCACCAAGUUCAUUUUGGAUAGGACUGCAAAAAGCGACUAACCAGCUCGGAUUCUCCACCUGCAAAACCGCAUCUGCAGCAACCAACCCCACGCGGUGGAAAAAAAAACAAAACCCAGAAACCGGACGGGGGUGGAUGUGGGGCUCGGAGCCCAAGCAAAAAAAAGGAUCGGGAGCGCCGGAGCAGGCCAUCACCGGAUGUUAGAGAUAGAAAAUGGUUGAAGUUGGAGUGGAAAUCAAACAAGCCUUGGAGCAAAGGAAAAAAAAGAUCAAACCACUCAAGCAUUCAUUUGAUUUAGAAAAGAGAACAUUUGUUAAGGUGGGGAGUUGAAAUCAUCUUUUAAUUAGUUCCACGUAUCUGGUAUCAUUACAGUUGGUUUACUUGUGUAAGUAUAUAAGUAGCUCUGCCGAAGCCUUUGCUCCUAUAAUUUAGUAACUAGUACAAAUGGAUCAUUAGGAAAAUCAAGUUGCAAUCAUUUCUCAGCCAACCAAACCUAUCUAAAUCAAAUUAUUGUCCAUGCCCGGCAUGCACAGGUGCCUGCCAUGCAUGCAUUGUUGCUCCAUUGUAAUAACCAUUAUUGUCCAUUGAUGUUCCAGCGCAUGUGUGCACUGUGCAGACACCAAGCAUCGAGAUUAUGUACUAGUAAGGUACCAAGAACACGUGAAGCACACGGGGGAGGCUGCUCCACUCGGCAUGCACAGGUGGGGCACGGCACCACUACUCGUCUCCUUCAGGCAGAGGACAAGUGAUGUACGCUGAUCAACCACUAGUAGAAAAACGACUUUCCAUCCGCCCCUUUUGUCCCGGUUUAAAGUUGGCCCGGGACAAAAGGUUCACCAACCGGGACUAAAACUCGGUCACUGGUGGGGGGCUCACCAACCGGGACCUUUUAUCCCGGUUGCAAAGGCUAGUGGGAAAAAAAGACUCUGAGAGGCCUUUUAUCCCGGUUUGAAACACCAACCGGAAUAAAAGGUGGUCUUUUAUCCCGGUUGGUGUUUCCAACCGGGAUAAAAGGGUCCCCCACGAGUUAAUACAAAAGGAUAGUAUCCCCUAUAUAGUCAGAUGUGGUGUGUAGGUGGGAUGGCAAGGAAGCUACGCGCGAGGCUGGAGGUUGUGGGUUUGAAUCCCACGAACCGCGCACCCCCACCACGGCAAACGGAGGUGAUGGCGGAAGGUGAGGCAACGACAGUAGCUGGUGAGCUCCCGCUCCAAUGUCUCGCGAGUGAAGGAGGAGGAGGUGGCAUGGGAAUCGAAGAGGAGGCCGCCGCUGGCGGGUUUAGACUACGUGGAUGUGUGGGUAGGGUUAAGGUGACGGUGUGGACUAGUAUAUAUAAGAUGUCUGGGCUUGUUAGAAUAAGAUAACAUUCUAACCGGCCAAAUUCGGACCCGGUUAGAUUAAAUUGAUAUUCUAACCGGUCCUAUUUCUAGGUGGUAAGAAUAAGUUAACAUUGUAAUUGGCUUUAUUUGGAACCCGAUUGAAUCUUCUUGUUAUUCAAAAAAACAUCAAGUUCAUCAAUUUUAAUCCAGAAAAACAUCAAGAUAAUUUAAGCACGAUAUAUAACAAGAUUAAUAAAUUUAAUAAUUGUUUGAUCCACAAAUUAACGAUAUUUAACAAAUUCAAAAAAUCCAAAUUAACAGAACACAAUAACCAAUUGUUCGAAAAAAUCAAAAUAAUCCACACACAUUAAUAUAUUACAAAUUCAGAAAUAUAUCAAAAUAAUCCCCGAUCCACUCGAUACCGUCAUAGGACUUUUAAAUACUGAGCUUCUUGAUUCGUCUGAGGUCCACGUACUCGUCUCAGUAACACUAGUGAUGGCCAUGCAUCUUGUAGAUGUCUUCUAACGAAUCAAGCUUGACGUACAAGGUCAUGCCUUCCGCUCCUUGAGGAUAACCAUCUUUGGUGAUCUUGAAAUGGCAGACGGUGGAUGUGCCAAAGGUACGUAACGAUCCUUCUAAAUGUAUGCCACCACAACUUCCGUCUGAUCGCCAUGGGUGACACCAAGAAGAGCUACCAUGCGGCAAGGGACGAACAAUUUAUCAAUUAGUGCCGCUGUCCAUUCGCCAUCAUCUAAUCCAGCCAUAUCUUGAUGUAUAUUUAAGUAUAGAAAUUAAGAUUUAAAAAUAAACAGAAUAAAUUGAGAUCGACUAUGUAUGUAUAUCAGAACAUUAGCUUUUGGAAAAAGGGCUUCGAUGGAAGAGAGGCACGGGGCAUAGAGACAACAACGAGUGACAAUAUGUCAGAAGAAUACCCGAUCACAAUUAUUGGCUACAGGACGGGCACACACAGCCGAUAUUUACAGUAGUCAAUACCCCUGGUAAAUAACCACACCAUCAAGAGUAAAUAGUGACAAUAUGCAGUAUAUACACGACAUAGCCUUGGUUGCCGUGGAAGCGCCAGAAGGGAGACAAAUAACAGGGACCACAACAUCAAGUAGAUAGUGACAAUAUGCAGAAGAAUACCCGCGCCUGUUAGCAUGUGUGAACUGACCACACCACGAAACGUGAUACACGGCAAGCGUACCAAGGCCUUGCUGUGCAGACUAUGCAUGGACAACACAUGGUACCUGACCGCUUUUGGCCUCAGACACAUCGAAAAACUGCAUCGUUCCACGUUGUACAUCCAUUGCUAGUUUAUCUAUAUUACAUAAUAUAUUAUUAGCUAUUUGAAUAGAAUGAACCAAUUAAAAAAUUGCGUUGUAUUUUAGUACCGGCUGCAGGAUGGUGUUACCAACCAGUACUAAUUGGCCUGUAGGAGUGAUGGUUAUUAGACUUGGUACUGUUGUUAGCAUCAUUAACCUAAUUGUGCGCGGUAUGAAUUUGGGGAUGCAAAGCUAGCUCUCUAUGAAUGUGAGGGAUGGAAAGCUAGUUCUCUAGUAGUAAUUAGCUAUAUAUAUAUGUCAGUCAAGAAAUCGAACACUAUGCUGCUACGAGUCACCAUCAUUUCCUUCAUUGACAAUCUGACAUAGGUGAAGCUGCUUCAAGAAUUUCCUUCGCGCAGUCGUGGAGCUUAUUGGAUUAUCACCAGGACGGGACACGGAAAUGGCCAGCAAUGAAGCUGAUUGCCGUCUGAGGAAGAUUACAUACUUACCUAUGAAAUGAAGCGAUUGCAUAGACUAAUGAAGCAUUGCAUAUUUGCAUGUGAGUGUGGCAGAUAAUUCUGCAGGACAUGAUUGCAAUCCACGCACCAUCGAGAAGACUGGGGCGAUGGGGUUGCCUCAUCAAUAAUCACGUGGAUGCAUGCAUGCAUGUUCCCGCAACCGGACAAGGGUCUGAUAUAUGGCUAUAGUAUUACUGAGCCCACAUCAAUAAUUUCCGCUGGUGUAUCGUGUGGGAAGAAUCAACAUACUACACCUCGAGUUCUUGGAACUAACUGACGUUCACAUGCAACCUCCACAAGGUGCUGUAUAUAUGCUUUUGACAUUCACCUGCCAGUUCGUGUAGAGGACACCCUAACGUAUGGUUAAUAUUAUCCAUUUCAUGAGUAAAAUACUGUGAUUCAAAAAUACUUCAAAUCCCUUGAGACAAUACUUCUCACUUGACUAACCACUAACCAACCCCGAAACCCUAACUCAACUCCGAACCCUAACACCUAACGGCAUAACCACUCCGUUUUGCCAGCCAGAUGGAGGAACUGGCUGGGAGGGAGAGAGGGCAGCGGUCCAGGGUUGAAAACGACGGGCGAGCGCAGUAACAUGUGGAGGAGGAAGUGCCACGUAUUCGUUCACCGCUAUUGGGCAGCGACACACAACACGCCCAAUAAGAUUUUCGCACGGUAGAAGGGCGCCAUGUAUUCAAUAAUGUUAUUGGUCCUCCAUGUGCAGAAGGGCGCGUAUGGAAUAACAAGUAGGGACACUGCAACUAAUCUACUCUGCUCGUCCAGUCCCUAGCCUAUAAAUAGAUGCCAUGCUAGCUCUUGUUGUGCUCACAGUUAAUCCGAUUACACACGAGCUUCUCUCCCUGGCCAAGACACAAUCAUAGUAUGAUGAAGAACAUGGCACUAGCCGGCAAUGGUAUGAAGAAGUUAAUCCUCGCUGUUCUCUUACUGUGUCUAGUUAUAGGGCAGAUACAAGUGGAAGCUAAGAGCUGCUGCCCAUCCACCACUGCAAGAAAUGUCUACAAUACCUGCCGUUUGACGGGUGCAUCCCGUCCAACGUGUGCAAAACUGUCAGGCUGCCAAAUUAUCAGCGGGAACAAAUGCAAGCCCCCUAACGACCACCUCACCCUUGACCCGGACACUGGUAAAUAAUAAAUUUAUCUCACUUGAUUUCUUUGUGUUUUGAGUCGUUAAUGUAUUUUCCAUCUGAUGAAACGCAUUGGUUUUGCAUUGAAGAGGAAGUUAAUGUGCUUAACUUCUGCAAGUUGGGGUGUGCGUCGUCUGUGUGCAACAACAUCAACGCUGGUAAGCACCUUUUGCUCAGACAGAGAAAACAAUAAUCAUUAAUUAGCGGCAGCUAGAAUCCUAUAAUCUAAUAUAUAUAUAUAAUUUUAUCAGCUCUGGGAAAUGAAGAGGCGAACGAUGCCGUUGAGAGUUGCGACCAAGCCUGCUCUAGCUUCUGCAGCGUGCAUGUUGGCAGCGCCACCGUGGUUGCUUAAGCAAAUGCAUCCAACUAGAUCGUCCUUGUGCUGAAUAAUUGGAUAUCGUAUCCACUUAAAGCUGCCUUGUGUAGUACGUCUUUGUGUCUCUCUUUAUAUUCCAAUAAGGUCGGUGAUCUUGAUGCCACACACUCAGAUGUGUGUUCAUCUCCAGAUACUACUCCAUGCUACCUGCCCUUUGUGUUUUGUUCAAUAACUGGGUAUCAUAUCCCAACCAGUAUGCCGUCUGUUUUGUGUUUGUUUCCUUCUAGUUCCAAAAGGGUCAUCAUGAUGUUACCUUCUUUCAAUAUGGUGCUUUGCAUGACUACUGUUGUAUGGUACCAUCUUGUGGCCAAUAAGUACAUCUUAUCCUAUGACCCUUUGCUAUGACCCUUUGCAAAUAAGUAGAAGAUUGUUAUAAGCGUCAAUACUCAGUAUAAUUGAUCGCUGCUGUGAGUUCCCUUUCAGCUUAUCGUAGGCAUACAUUAUUGCUAGCACGGUAAAGCCAACCAACACGAAUGAUGAAGUAAACGUAGCGGUACUUCUGUAUACCAACACCCUUACUUAAAUGUACCGGUGUCAUUCCCUACUGGCACAUAUAUUCUUAUAUGCUAGCCAGCUUGUAAAAUUAACCAAUUAAAAUAAUUAUUUCAAGAUAGAAAUAACUUAUCGGCUUCUGGAAGCAUGUGUAAUGUGAAUUCAAGGACUCGACGGAAGUUGAAUCACUUCAUCUAUAUUGCUUUCAGGAUUUUGGGUAACUAAAUUUAACAUUUGCACAUACAAAUGUUAAAGUACAAAUGUUAAAUCUAGUUACCCAAGCAGAAUAUGAAGAUAGUUUAUAGUAUAUAUAUACUAUAAAUAUACUAUAUAAAUCUAGUUAACAUUUAGUCUAAAUGUUAAAUCUAGUUACCUAAAAUCCUGAAAGCAAAAUGUAUAAAUAUAUAUCUUUUAAGGCAGUAUAAGCUUCGAUUCCUAUUGCUGCUCUGUUAAAUCUCAUCUUUCGUUGUGGCCCAACACUCUAGUAUGCAUGUUGCACCAAGCUUCUUUGAGCCGCUCUGCCCUCUGAUUUUGCUGUGUAGGGGAAUCUUUAUCAGGUUGGGCUACUUCCAGUUGUGCGAUGUAAAGAUUCGUAUUUUCUAGAAGGUAGACAAAAAACUCGCGUUCUCUUAAGGCAACAACCGGAAGAUUCUGCAGCGCAUAGGGCAUACCAUUAUUGUAGAAACGACCUUUAGUACCGAUCUCCAACCCCCUUUAAAACUGGUUUUGCAACCGGUACCGUUAUGUCGGUCCUUUAGUACCAGAUCAAAUAACCGGUACUAAAAGAGUCAACUAAAAGGACUCUUUUAGUACCGGUUGGUAACCAGUAUCAACUUGUUUUGUGGCCAAAAAAAUAAAGAAAAAAACAGUCAGAAGGCUCGCACACACGCGCAUCACAUGAAAUAUGCGUGUGCGGGGUCCAUGGGAUUCGAACCCAUGAAAUCAAGCUACGCGCGACCCUUCGUUACCAUCUCACCUGAAGUAACCCGUGGAGGAGGCUUUAGUACCGGGUCAUAACACCACCCGGUACUAAAAGUGACUCUUCAGUACCGGGUCAUAACACCACCCGGUACUAGUAUCGGAUGGUGUAAUGACCCGAUACUAAAAGGCCUCUAGGGACCCUCAAAUUUGAACCCGGUACUAAUGCUAAUAUUAGUACCGGGUCAAAGUGCAGCCAGAACUAAAGCAUGGGAUGAAAGGUCAUAUUUCUAGUAGUGUAUAGUUGUUGUGAAGGACUUACUUGGCUGUCCUCUCUCUUCUCCAUCCCCUUGGUCUUACGCCGCCGCUCGCACGCGAGCUGGUGCCCAACCAGAGGAGUGAGAGCUAGGGGCAGGUUGGGAGGUGGGGAUAGCGACUGGUGGCCAGGGUGAUGGUUGAUCCUGGCGGGGUUAGGGUUUUAGGGUUUUCGAGCUUCCUAUGGUCGGCGAACCUAGAGGAGGAGCUCAACAUCAGCUGCAACCCGCGAUGGUGGUGGUUUGGCCAGCGCCCGAGGCGAGGCAGCGCGGGAGUGCUGCCGGUGGGUUGGUGUUGGCACUCAUUAUUGACAACUAUUUUGUUCAUAAAAUAACACUCAAACUUGCUGCUGCUGCCGCCGCCAUCGCCACCCUAGCCAUAAUAUAAAGGCAAAAUUUGCUAAAGGACAUGCAAAAUGAUGCUAGUUUGCUGGCGGGCAUCGUUGACCUUGUAAUAUGCUACAAGACACUCUAGUUGUGUAUCAAUUUGCUGAAAGACAUUGCUAUGACUAAAAUAAUGUUUCUGGACUGAGUUGGAGAGAGAGAUGGAGUGAAAUGUCUGUUUUGCCCAUGACCCCACUGGUCAGAUCCUUCUUCUUCCACCCUCCUUUGUUCUUUCUUCAACCAUUACCCAGCUCCAGCGUGUUGCAGAUCUACGAGGGUGGCGGCCUGGGGCGAGGGGCAUUGCUCGCCCUCGGAGGAGCGCUGCGAGCGACGGCGCGGGGGCGGCAACCGCGCGUCAGAACCUGACUGUUCGUUAGCUCCUCUCGCUGCUGGGGAAGAAGGAGGGGGAUGGGCCAUGGACGGGGUUCCCUUGAAAACCUCAGCGUCGAGCUCGGGCGGCUACGCGCAGGCAGCACUAGGCUGCUUCACGGGGAGGGGGCGCGGCCAAUCAUUGGCACCCCACUGGUCCAAUGCUGAUGAAGAUGGUGCCAGCGUCGUGUGAGGACAUCUCAUCUCCUCGAGUUCCAUGGCCAGCACAGGUGAGCUGCCGCUACCACAAAACAGAGAUUUCGUGAGAGUCAAAAAACCUUAUGAAAAUAGCUAAAACCAUCAUGAAAAUAAUCCGUGACAUGACACUCUCACGAAAAUCCUCUCACAAAUAUGGUGCCAUGAAAAUACCAUUUUCAUGAGAGUGAACUGUCAUGAUUUUAUUUCGUGAGAGUAUUUCCUAUCAAUGACCUCCACGAAAUACUUUGUGCCACCAGGUCUUCAAGAUCAUUUUCAUGAGAGCUGAACAUCAGGAAAAGUCCGCCACAAAUGUUUUUCUUGGAGCCUCUAACUCUCAUGAAAAUCAUGCGGGCCGCCACGAAAAACAGCAUGACCAAAUGACAAAUUUUAUUUUCAUGUGUUCAUACCGUGAAAAUGGUCAUUUUCAUGAGAGUUGAUGAAACAAAAAAUAGUGCCAUUUUCAUGAGAGUUCAAGCAACCAGGAAAAGACACUAAUAAACAUCCAGAUCCCAUCCAGCACACAUCCAUGCACACAUAUAACCCACAUAUUGCUCCAGCACACAUCCAUGCAUAUACAAGAUCCAAAUGUUAAUAUAGUAGACAUCCAUGCCUGAACUAGUCUGCCACACAAGUCAUUGAUGCUACAAAUCCUACAAUCGCAGCAUGUGCAUACAAGUCACAGAAUGAGACAAUGUACCCAAAACUAAAAGGUUAGCAUCAACUGUGCUUCAACCAAAGUUGUCAUCCCAACUCUCCUCUUCAUCCAUGCCAUUCUUGUCAUGGCCGUCACUGUCAGUCCCCAUGGCAUUGCCAAUGCUGUGCAUGUCUUGGUAGGAACCUACAUGUGAUGAACCAGUAACCUGCAAAAAGAACUCAAAGGAUCUUGUUCUCAUAUUGUUCUCAUAUUGUAGCUGUGAAAUUCUUACAAGUAGUGUUGCAAUCAGUUCACUUUGAACCAAAAGAGCUCAAAGGAUCUUGUCCUAAAAGUUCCUCAUAAAGCUUAUGGGUUUGCUGGUGGAACUGGAAGGGCUUGAUGCAGCAGAUGCCAUUCUGCAAUAGAGAAAAAUUUAGAGAGCAGUAAUAGUUAAAAUUGGAUGCAGCAGAUACACAUGAAACUAGUAUUUAUACAAGUCUAUACAAUUAAAAUCUAAGGAGACUUAUCAUCGUUUUCAUGUGUUGCGAAUUAAAAUAAUGAAGGAUACACUGUUAGGUGAAAAUUCAAGAAACAAAAUUUUGCAUAGAGAUAAAGGUCCAACAUUAUUACAAGUUAAGGUAGUUUUAAAUAUCCUUGUAAUCUUCCUUUGGUUUCCUCAACGAUUCGAAGACAAUAACCUUGCUUCUAUCAAUGAUAAUUAUAAGGAGAAUCCAGUGGAAACUGUGUAUUCAUAUUAGAACUACCUAAGGUUAAUUAGGUUAGGAAAGGAAAUCGAAAAUAGAUGGUACCCACACUUACUUAAAGUUGUCGGGCAAUAGUAUGUAAUGCUUGUAAUUCCGUUGCUCCAAGAAUUUGUAUAUGUGGUCCAAUGUAGACUUUGGUUGAUCCCGUAUCUGCUGUUGGUUAAAUAAGUGUUUCUAGCCAUUUCUAGCCAUUAGAACUGGGACUAAAGGGGGCUCUUUAGUACGGGUUGAUAUUACUAACCGGGAUUAAAGAGCCCCCAUUAGAGUUGGUUUUUGGAUGCGGAACUAACAACUCCUUUAGUCCUGAGUACGAAAACGACUGAGAUAUUUGUUGCUUGGUUGAAGGUCCUUUCUCUACCGUGAAUAUUGCCAGAAAGAAUUGAAAGAGACUGCUUGCUAAAAAUAUGUCAUAGAUGUAGACCAAGCUACCAAGGAGGUAGCACUAGUAGAGAAUUGACUUUCGAGCCGCCCCCUUUUAUCCCGGUUUAAAGUUGGCCCAGGACAAAAGGGGGUGCGCCGGGGUGCGGAAAUUUGGAGGGGAGCAUUACUCCCGGUUGGUAAUUGCAACCGGGACUAAAGGCCCCCCUUUAGUCCCGGUUGCAACGGCUAGCUGGGGGGCAUCGGUGGCCGGACCCUUUUAUCCCGGUUGGAUCCUCCAACCGGGAUAAAAGGGACUCCCUUUUAUCCCGUUGGAGGAACCAACUGCGAUAAAAAGUUUAGUCCCGGUUGGUGCCUCCAACCGGGAUAAAAGGGUGUCCCUUUUAUCCCGGUUGGAGGAUCCAACCGGGACUAAACUUCCAACCGGGACAAAAGGUGUUUCCUUUUGUCUCGGUUGGAGUUUUUAACCGGGAUAAAAACUCAUCCCCCACUAUGUCCCGAGACAUAGACUUUCUUCUUCCUCCAGCCCGAGCCAGUCCAGCACAUUGAUAGAGAGCUGAGCUUCACCUACUCUCCGGUGGUGCCAAAGCAAGGGAGGUGCUGCCCGAAGUUUUUUCCCUCAUUUUCGUGGGAAUUUGACUCAGCCAACACAAGUGUUGCGAAGGUUUGCUACUUCAUCCUCGUGUUAUGCUUUGAUUUAUGCUUUGGAGAUGGAAAGAUUAUUUGCUACAAUGUGAUGAUGAAGUAGAAAAAUGGAGAGGUAUUUUGAGCUAGAAUGUGAGGGAGAUUGAUGUGUCAUAUAUAGUAUGCAUUAUUUCAGUGGUUUAAAAAUGAUGCUACCUUGUCUAGACGGUUUAUCUUAUCAAAUUCAAUAUGGUUUUUUAAAUCCAUAUACUUGUUGAACUUGCAUACCGUGUUCAUUUCGGCGAGAAUGUUCUCCGCCGAGCAGCAACGUAUGUCAAGAAGGAGGUUCGAUUCUACGAGAAAGAGUGGAUACGGACAUCGUGACCAUGUCCCCUUUUCCGUAGCAUCUAACCUCUUUCAUGACGAAGUGCGGUGCCACCCAGCUGAGGACAUCCUCGCGAAAUGAACACGGUCUUCAAGUUCAACAACUUCUGUAGUGGUAAGGAAAGAAUUUUUGUACAUAGAUGACUUCUGCUACUUGUUGAACUUGCAUACCGUGUUCAUCUCUCCGAGGAUGUUUUCCGCCGAGCAGCAACGUAUGUCAAGAAGGAGGUUUGAUUCUACGAGAAAGAGUGGAUACGGACAUCGUGACCGUGUCCCUUUUUCCGUAGCAUCUAACCUCUUUCAUGACGAAUACCGGUCCCGCCUAGUUGAGGACAUCCUCGCGAGAUGAUCACGGUCUUGAAGUUGAACAACUUAUGCAGUGUUAAGAUGAUCACGAUCUUUAAUCGAUUUUCACGCGUAAUCCAUUAUCAAGUGUAAUCCAUUUUCAUGCGUAAUACGAUGCAGAUGGACUAGCAAUGGAUGUAUAAUGCAGACAGGCGGAGCAAGGCGUUUAUUGAUGGCUUGCAUUAUUUUCUCGAAGUGGCAAAAGCGAACAAGCCAGAGAAUGGGUUCGUAUGUUGUCCAUGCUUCCAAUGCAAUAACAGGAAGGAGUAUUCAAACGAUUCCUGGGGGACUAUUCACAGCCACUUGUUUAAAUACGGUUUCAUGCCUAACUAUUUGGUUUGGACCAAGCACGGUAAACUAGGGGUUGUAAUGGAAGAUGGCGAGGAGGAGGAGGAAGAUGACACCAUUCCGGACUGGGUUGCAGGCCAAGCUUUUGCAGGUACUACAAUGGGCGAGGCUGAUGAAGAUGAGUUUGCAGAAAAUGACCCUACUGAUGACCUUGGUCAGGUGAUACAAGAUGCAUACAGAGAUUGCGAAACUGAGAAGGAAGCAGCAAAGUUGCAGCGCAUGAUAGAUGAUCACCAAAAAUUGUUGUACCGAGGUUGCCAGCAGGACCAUAAAAAACUAGGUACGACACUAGAAUUUGUGCAAUGGAAGGCAAAAAAUGGUGUGUCCGAUAAGGCAUUUCAGGGGAUGUUGAACAUUGUCAAGAAGAUUCUCCCCGAGAAUAAUGAAUUACCGUCCACAACAUAUGAAGCUAAACAGAUUAUUUGUCCUCUUGGAUUGGAUGUUCAGAAGAUACACGCAUGCCCUAAUGACUGUAUCCUCUAUCGUGGUGAUGAAUACGAGAAAUUGGAUGCUUGUCCCGUCUGCGAAGCCCUGCGGUAUAAGAUCAGGCGAGAUGAUCCUGGUGAUGUCGAGGGGCAGUCUCCCAAGAAGAGAGUUCCCGCGAAGGUGAUGUGGUAUUUCCCUAUAAUACCACGCUUGAAGCGCUUGUUCAGGAACAAGGCGAAUGCUAAGUUGAUGCGAUGGCACAAAGAAGACCGUAAGGAAGAUGAGAUGCUGAGACACCCCGCAGAUGGGGCACAGUGGAGAUCAAUUGAUAGAAAAUUCCCAGACUUUGAAAGUGAAGCAAGGAACAUAAGGUUUGGUUUAAGCACUGAUGGAUUCAAUUCAUUGGGUGAGUUGAGUAGUGGUCAUAGUACUUGGCCUGUGACCCUUUGUAUGUUCAACCUUCCUCCUUGGCUGUGCAUGAAGCGGAAGUUCAUUAUGAUGCCGGCGCUAAUCCAAGGCCCAAAACAACCCGGCAACGACAUUGACGUGUACCUAAGGCCGUUGGUUGAUAACCUUUUACAGCUCUGGAAGGAAGAAGGUGUACGUGUGUGGGAUGAGGAUAGACAAGAGAUCUUUAAUCUACGAGCACUGUUGUUCGUAACCAUCAACGAUUGGCCUGCAUUGAGUAACCUUUCAGGACAGACAAAUAAGGGAUAUCGGGCAUGCACCCACUGUUUAGACGACACAGACAGCAUGUACUUGAAGCACUGUAAGAAGGUCGUCUAUAUGGGUCAUCGUCGAUUUCUCCCUGCUCACCACCAGCUGAGAAAGAGCGGGAUGCAUUUCAAAGGGGCGCCAGACCAUCGUAAAAAACCUGCACACCGUAAUGGAAAGCGUGUGUUUGAGAUGAUGAAGGAUGUAUAUGUAGUCUUCGGAAAGGGACUUGGUAGCCAACCUGUUCCGAACGACGAUAACGGACAUGCACCCAUGUGGAAGAAAAAGUCAAUAUUUUGGGAGCUACCUUAUUGGGAAAUCCUAGAGGUUCGCAACGCAAUAGACGUGAUGCACCUGACGAAGAAUCUUUGCGUGAACGUGCUAGGCUUCAUGGGUGUUUAUGGAACCUCAAAAGAUACAUUGGAAGCACGACAGGACCUGAAAGCCAUGGGGCAACGAGAUGACCUACAUCCGGAAAAGAGAGAUAAUGGACAGCACUACUUACGUCCUGCCAGUUACACUCUCAGCAAGGAAGAGAAGGAUAGCAUGUUUGAAUGCUUGAAUAGUAUGAAGGUCCCGUCUGGGUACUCCUCGAAUAUAAAGGGAAUAAUAAAUAUGAAACAAAAGAAGUUUACAAAUCUCAAGGCUCAUGACUGCCACAUGUUGAUGACCCAGUUGCUUCCGGUUGCACUGAGGGGUGUUCUACCAGAAAAUGUCCGGUUGCCGCUCGUAAAGCUAUGCGCGUUUCUCAAUGCGAUUUCGCAGAAGGCAAUCGAUCCAUCCAAGCUAUCAAAGCUACAGAACGAUGUGGUGCAAUGUCUUGUCAGUUUUGAGUUGUUAUUUCCACCAUCCUUCUUCAAUAUUAUGACGCACUUACUGGUUCACCUAGUAAAAGAGAUUGGUAUUCUCGGACCUGUAUACCUGCACAAUAUGUGGCCUUUCGAGAGGUGCAUGGCAGUCCUAAAAAACUAUGUUCUUAAUCGUGCCCGUCCAGAAGGAAGCAUCGCCAGGGGAUAUGGAACAGAGGAGGUGAUCGAGUUUUGUGUUGAUUUUAUUGAUUCAAUUGACUCGAUUGGGGUUCCAACUUCACGCCACGAGGGGAGGCUCCGAGGAAUGGGCACCAUUGGAAGGAAAUCAAGUUUGAGCAAUGAUACUGAUUUGUUCGACAAGGCACACUACACUGUUCUACAACAGUCAUCCUUUGUGUCUCCGUAUAUCGAGCAGCACAGGCAGAUGGUAGCUUCCAAAAACCCGACCAAAUCCGAUGCUUGGCUUACCCGUCAUCACAUGGAAACUUUUCCCUCCUGGUUGCGCCAACAACUUAUGGGUAACUCUGAGAUUCACCCACAGCUUGCCUGGUUAGCCAGGGGACCUACUACCACAAUCGUCGAAUUCCAAGGCUAUGAGAUAAAUGGUUACACAUUUUACACGAGAGCCAAGGACCAGAAAAGCACGAACCAGAAUAGUGGUGUCCGCAUAGAUGCCAUGGACAGAAAUAAUAGCAAGGAGUCGUAUUAUGGUUUCAUACAGGAGAUAUGGGAACUCGAAUACGGACCGCUGUACAUCCCUCUAUUUCUUUGCAAUUGGGUGAAGCUAACUGCCGUCACCAAAGAUCAGUACGGAAUGACAAUAGUAGAUCUGAGCAAGACUGGAUACAGUGAUGACCCAUUCGUACUUGCCAAUGAUGUGCAUCAGGUGUUCUAUGUGAAGGACAUGUGCAGCAAACCCAAGAGGAAUCCAGAAGAGACAUGGGAGCCAAAGUGCCACAUAGUUCUUCCAGGUAAAAGAAAAAUCGUGGGAGUCGAGGAUAAAACAGACCAAUCAGAUGAUUAUGAUCAGUUUGAUGGCAUGCCUCCAUUCGCCGUUGAAGUUGAUCCAAGCAUCCUGCUAUCCAAAGAAGAGGCUCCGUACUUACGCCGCGAUCAUGAUCAAGGAACUUUCGUGAAGAAGAAAUUUUACAACGUUGUAUUGUAAUGCGUUAAAUGUACAUGACCUUUGUGUAUUAAUUGAUACAAUUUGUAAUGUACCCUAUGUAUGAUUUCAUGUGUUAUUAAAUUUGUUAGGUGAAGAUUUUUUAGAUAAACAUGAACAUUGUUAACCACAUACUAACAUGGAUUUUUCUGCUGUUGACGUCGGAUUUCGUCAUCAGUAGAAUCGGCGCCAAAGAGGAAAGAAAUCGAAGGAGGACGGAUGGAAAUCGGCCAAAAGGUGUUACAGUGCGGAAUCGGUCAAGUGGCUUUUACUUCGCUUCAGAGUGAAUACGCCGGGUUCCCAAUCGGCAAUCCUUUGCUGAUAAGAAAUCGGCCGAUCAGGAAGGUGGACUAAGGUGGGCCUGUAUGGGCUUGGAAAGAUGGAAGGAUAAGGUGGAGUUCAGCCCAUGAAGCGUGGGGUAAUUAGUUUAGCUCGGAUUGUGCUUGUAGAUAUUUGUUUUCUGUUUAAAUUAGAGAUAGAGUCCUAGUCGGUUAAGAAGAUUAUUUGUACGGGGCUAUAAAUAGCUACCUUUGUAAAUCUGUAAAAAAAAAACAAUCAAUCAAUACAACAAGUUACUUUAUUCUUCGUACUUACUUUCGAGCAGGCGACUUCGCCAUCACUUUUCCUUCUCACGAGUUCGUGCGGGUUGGCAGGGCUGCAUCAUCUUGAUCUCCGGCCGAUUCUGUAAGUUCCGUUUAUCGAGUAAUAUCUAAGCUUUAACUUCCGGCGCAUCGCUGUUGUUUCGUUUAGAUUUUAUUCAUCAGUUAUCGAUAUCGACUAGAUUCAUAGGUUUUUACCUGUUCUCCUAGUUUUUAUCACCAGUUACCCCGCUAGGAAUCGGUAGUAUCGGCUUUCAUUACUUUCUGUUACCAAAUCCAUCUGUUGCCGAUUAGAUCUUUUCCUGGUGCUGUUACUACGUGCCUUGUACCGAUUACUUUAAUAUUUUUCUAUCUACAAGGCUACGGGGGUCGUGCUGUCUUGUAGCCGAUUUCUUUACCACAGUAAAUCGGCCGAUCUGCCGAUAAGCUCUCUCGAUCGGAAACUUAGCCGAUCGUAGUUACUGAUUUUGACACGUGUUCUUCCUUGCCAAUCAACAGGUCAGAUUGGCUGGCACGCCGCGCGAACCGCACCAGGGCAUUCACCCGAACAGGAGCUAAGCAGAUUCUCCCGGGUCGUGUGUCGGCCGCUGGGAUUCGGUUGACCGAUUUCUAGCGCCAACACACUUUUGGCACGCCCGGUGGGACCAUUACAACCGCUGUCUUGUCGAAAGCUGCUGAAGUCUCCGAAGAUAACGUCAUCGAAGUGACGGAGGCAGAUCUAAAGGACGACCAAAAAGAAGAUCUAAAUCAGUAUUUGGAGCAAGUCCGGAAAACUUGCUUGAAAUCCUUCAGUCGUUCCAGGAGCGGGGAAACUGUUAAAAAGUCUCCUUUCCCUACUCCCCGCCAGAUCACGAUUUCAGAAGAUUCGGACAAAAUGUCCGAUAUGAUUCAGCAAUCUCUUCAUCACGCCUUCAUCAACCAAUCCCCGGUACUUUCAAACAUGGUGCACAAUGCUGUUGUCAACUCUUUCGCCGGAGGUAUACCACAGGGGUACAGGGGGCCUACGUAUUUUCAGCCGAUUCCACCAAAUCAGGCUUAUCAGGCUUCACAGCCGAUCCAAUCCUCUGUCGGAGGAUCUGGUGCUUCUACGUCAUCAACUCCUUUGGGAUACGGCUCCACUGCACCACUCCCUCCAGUCAUUCCUUUACCCUGGGGGGCACCCUUAAACACGACCGGUUUGAAUCAAUCGGUCAGCCAAGGAAAUCCUCCGUUCCAGACACCCUCCCAAACGGCCACUCGGCCGAUCAUACCACCAUACCAGCCUAUCGCUCCGGAGGUCAACAAGACGUCAGAGCUCAUGCUAUAUGAUGGAACAAGUGGUUCAUACAAGCAGCCGUCCUUUACUACACCGCCGGCUUAUACUCAGAUACCACCUUUUCAUCAACCUCCUUUUAUUCAACCUCCGAUUUAUCAACAUGUGCCGAUUCCGCCGCCAAUUAUUCCCCAACAACAACCGGAUUGGACGGCGCAAAUCGCGGAGGUAAUGCAAGAACAAUUCGGACUGAAGCCGAAGGUGCAAACUUAUACCUACAGGACACCAUACCCAUCUACGUACGACUUGUUGCCGUUUCCCCAUCGGUACAAAGUCCCGGAUUUCACUAAAUUUUCCGGAAUAUAUGAUACUUCUACCGUGGAACAUGUGAAUAGAUUCAUCAUCCAAUGCGGAGAAGCAGCUACGCAAGAUGCCCUACGGGUACGGUUGUUCUCGUCAUCUUUGUCUGGAUCGGCUUUCCAAUGGUUCACCACUUUGCCACCAAACUCGAUUAUCACAUGGGCCGAUCUAGAGAGGCAGUUCCACAAGUACUUCUAUGCUGGAGUCCACGAAAUGAAGUUGUCUGAUUUAACUAGCCUCCGGCAACGAAGUGAUGAGCCGAUACCCUCGUACAUACAGAGGUUUCGGGAAAUCAGAAACAAAUGCUACUCCUUGGCUCUAACCGAUGCGCAGUUGGCCGAUAUAGCUUUCCAAGGCCUGCUGCCACACAUUAAGGAGAAAUAUGCUUCGCAAGAAUUCGAGAGCCUGAGCCAGAUUGUCCACCGAUUGUCCGGACAAGAGGUGCGUCCAUUCGAUCCAAGAAGGAAUUUCCAGAAGAAAGUGGCGUUCCUGGAAGAAUUAGAGGACGAGGAAGACGCCGACAUCGGACUUGCAGAGUGGAUUAAAGGAAAGAAGCCGAUAUCAUGCCCGUUCGGCAAAAAGGAGCCGGAAGCAUUUGGUUUCGAUACAACUAAAGCUGACAAAAUCUUUGAUCUUCUACUCCAGGAAGGACAAAUUAAACUCUCGCCUUACCACACGAUACCCUCUGCCGAACAAUUGAAGAAGAUGAAGUAUUGCAAGUGGCAUAACGCCACAUCACAUGAUACCAACGCCAUUGAGCAAGGCAGACUCAAAUUUGAAGUGCCGGCAAAACUGGCUAAACCUAUGAAGAUUGAUCAACACCCUUUUCCUACCAACAUGGUGGAUACGGGUAAGAAUCCCCUCCAAACAAAAGUGCUGACGUCCGAAUCGGCAAAAAGGAGCGGCUCUGUCGACCCCAGAAAUCAAGUUACACCCGAAGACAUCAAAGGGAAACGGCGAAUGGAGGACGACGAUGGUGAGUCUGAUAGACCACGUAUUACUUCCCAGUUCCUGCUCCAAAAGUACCAACGCCAACAUGAACGAUCGAGGUCCCGAGAGGAAGCAAUGCGUCGACACGAAGAACACUGGAGAUGCCCAUUCUUCAUCCAUUGUUGGGAAAAUAACCUCAGGCUUCCAUCAGCCGAUACUUGCCCAGAGUGCAACGGUCCCUAUCGAAGCAAUCGGCCGAUUACAAGGUCUCGCUCCAGAGACGGAAGGCCAGAACCGAUCAGCAGGAAUCGGCGCAACCCAGAUGAUCAGCGCCCUUCCAUGCGUGAUCGGCUGGGGGGCAGAAGUGACCGAUAUGAUCGGUCAGAAGAUAGAAGCCAUAAUAGGCAGGGGGGCAGGACCGAUCGACAUGAUCAAUCAAGUAGCAAAGCCAGCGUUCACAGUCGGCUCCAAGACAUGGCCGAUGCUCGGGUAACAGACGAGAACCCGUUAGGACGCGAGCCAGAAUGGGAACGCGCCAGGAAAGAAGGGAGGCCAAUAAACCCCAGAUGGUGUCCCGAUGGUUUGACCAAAUCACAAAAACGAAGAGUCCAACGCCUCCGCCAAUGGGAACAGCAAGAAGAAGAAAGCGCGAUGGACAAGAAGGAAGGGAGGCCUCGGGUAUGGCGCCCCAAAGGAAACGACAAGGGCAACGAUGAAUCGGCGGGUGAUGAAUCGGCAGCCGAAAUCGGUAUGGUUUUCAUAUUGCCGACGGAGUUUAUGACCCCUGCCGAUCAACAGAACGUGUCGGCAAUAGAGGAACAAACAGCACGGUUGGCGUUAGAACCAAUGAUGGCCACGUUCGAAAAGCCCGAAGACGACGAACGACAACAUAUGAAGGCGUUGUUUCUUAAAGGGCAUGUUGACGGUCGCCCCCUCACUAAAUUGAUGGUCGACGGGGGAGCUGCCGUCAACAUCAUGCCGUAUGCCAUACUCCGAAAGCUGGGAAAGAGCGAUGACGACCUAACCAGGACGGACAUGAUGCUCAAGGACUUCGAAGGCAAGGUGUCAAACGCUCGCGGUGCCCUCUGCGUUGACCUCACCAUCGGCAGUAAGACCCUUCCUACCACGUUUUUCGUCAUUAAUGGCAAAGGGUCCUAUAAUAUGCUUCUUGGACGAGACUGGAUACACGCAAACUGCUGCAUACCGUCAACUAUGCAUCAAUGCCUGGUACAAUGGGUCGGCGACAACAUCGAGGUGGUCAAAGCCGACUCCGCGUACAGCAUCGCAGCAGCCGACGCACAGCAAUGGAGCUGCGAAACCGUCAGGUGCAUAUCAGGUAGGGUGUGGGAAACUGAUUUCCUGAAGGUCACCGAUUUUGGCCUACAGCCGAUCCGAGCAGUCGGCUCUGAAGAAGCGCAAUAAAUGGAUCAGUUCGCCCGAGAAGACGGGAAGCUGGGACACGGAUUCACGUCGGCCGAUUCAUUGGAAAUGGUAGAUUUAGGUGACGGGACCAAACCAAGGCCGACUUUUAUUAGUGCAAAUUUAGAUCCAGAGUACAAGUGUAAAUUGACAAAUUUAUUAAGAGAAUUCAAGGAUUGUUUUGCGUGGGAGUAUCACGAGAUGCCCGGAUUAGAUCGAUCUAUUGUUGAACAUCGGCUACCCAUAAAACCAGGGUAUCGGCCGUACCAACAACCCGCACGGCGAUGCAAUCCUAAAAUUUUACCAGACAUAAAAGCCGAAAUAACUCGGCUAAUUGAAGCGAAAUUUAUUCGGCAAUGUCGUUACGCCGAGUGGAUUUCUAAUAUCGUACCGGUGUAUAAGAAAAACGGGAAACUGCGCGUUUGCGUCGAUUUCAGAAAUCUUAAUCAGGCCACACCGAUGGAUGGCUACCCCAUGCCUACGGCCGAUGUACUGAUCGACGCUGCCGCGGGGCACAAAAUUAUUAGCUUCAUGGAUGGGAACGCCGGAUACAAUCAAAUACUUAUGGCCGAAGAGGACAUACCCAAAACGGCUUUCAGAUGUCCAGGCCAUCUUGGUCUAUUCGAGUGGGUGGUGAUGACUUUCGGUUUGAAGAAUGCUGGUGCUACAUAUCAGAGGGCCAUGAACUAUAUUUUCCACAAACUCAUCGGCCUCCUGGUGGAGAUCUACAUCGACGACGUUGUGGUCAAAUCCAAAAGCCACGAGGAACACCUAGCCGAUUUGCGAAGGGUCCUAGAGUGUACCAAGAAACAUGGUCUUAAGAUGAAUCCCAACAAAUGCGCUUUCGGCGUCUCCGCCGGACAGUUCCUAGGAUUCAUGGUGCACGAACGAGGCAUUGAAGUCAAUCAGAAGACCAUAGCGGCCAUCAACAAAGUCGUCGCUCCGCAGAACAAAACUGAACUACAAUCUCUAAUCGGCAAGGUAAACUUCAUCGGAAGGUUUAUAUCUAAUCUAUCUGGACGGAUCCAGACGUUCACACCACUUCUGAAGUUGAAGCCAGACCAAGAAUUUAUUUGGGGAGAAGAACAGCGCAAGGCGUUAGAAGACAUCAAGCGAUACUUAGUCUCGCCCCCAGUCCUGGUUCCCCCCCAAACGGGUAAGCCGUUUAAACUAUAUUUAUCAGCCGAUGAAAAAGCUAUUGGGUCGGCUCUAGUCCAAGAGUUUGAAGGCAAAGAACGGGUGAUUUAUUACGUUAGUAGAAGACUCCUGGAUGCCGAAACAAGAUAUCCUCCAGUAGAGCGUUUGUGUUUGUGUCUUUACUUCUCGUGCACCAAACUCAGACACUAUCUACUGUCGGCAGAAUGUAUAGUCGUAUGCAAAGAUGAUGUAGUGAAAUACAUGCUGUCACUGCCGAUAUUGAAAGGGCGAAUCGGUAAAUGGAUUUUAGCUUUAUCAGAAUUUGACCUACGGUACGAAUCGGCAAAAGCCAUCAAAGGUCAAGUCAUGGCCGAUUUCGUCGCACAGCACUGUGGGCCGGAGAUCGCCUUCGUGGAACUAGCGCCUUGGCAGUUAUUUUUUGAUGGGUCAUCAUGCGGAGUCGGAUCGGGAAUCAGCAUCGUUCUCAUAUCGCCUCGGGGGGCAAGAUACGAUUUUUCUCUGCCGAUAGAAACCGCCACCACAAACAAUCAAGCGUAAUACAGAGCUGUAUUAAAAGGCUUACGAUUAUUGAGAGAAGUCAAGGCCGAUUCUGUCGAGGUCUUCGGAGAUUCGAUGUUAAUCGUGGAUCAACUAACCGGGAAGGCUGAGUGCAAAGAUGACAUAUUACGAAUUCAUCACGAAGAUUGCCUACAGCUGUUAAAAGAAUUCAGAUCGGCAGUAAUCGAGCAUGUCCCAAGAGACCGCAAUGAGGAAGCGAACAAACUCGCUCAACACGCAUCUGGGUAUCGGCCGAUUCUAGGCGCCAUGGCCUUAGAGCUUGCAGCUGACGAUUGGCGCAAAGAAAUUGCCGAUUACCUAAAGGAUCCGUCUAAAAAGGUGGAGCGGCGAGUACGCUUUCACGCUACCAAAUACGUAUUACUCGAAGAUGAUCUGUUUUACCGAACGAUCGAAGGUGUUCUUCUUAAAUGCCUUGGGACAGAAGAAGCCAAGACUCUAAUGGGAGAAAUCCACGAAGGGGUAUGCGGAGCUCACCAAUCAGCACAUAAGAUGAAGUGGAUGAUCAGAAACAAUGGGUACUAUUGGCCUACGAUCCUUGAAGAUUGUUUCAAAUAUUAUAAGGGUUGUCAGGAGUGUCAAAAGUUUGGAAAUGUCCAGCAUGCACCUGCAUCGGCCAUGAAUCCCAUCAUCAAACCAUGGCCGUUCAGAGGGUGGGGAAUAGACCUUAUCGGCCAAAUUUAUCCACCAUCGAGCAAGGGGCACAAGUUUAUUCUGGUCGCCACCGAUUAUUUCACCAAAUGGGUGGAGGCAAUCCCAUUAAGAACUGUGACUUCGGCUAUCAUGGCCGAUUUUGUAAGGGAUCAUAUCGUCUACCGAUUCGGUAUCCCUCAAACUGUAACAACCGAUCAAGGAACGAUGUUCACAUCGGGGGAAUUUGAGGAGUUUACAACCGAUAUGGGCAUCAAAUUGUUAAAUUCUUCUCUGUAUUACGCUCAGGCCAAUGGUCAAGCAGAAUCUUCCAACAAAGGAAUAAUCAAGUUGAUCAAAAGGAAGAUUGAAGAAUACCCGAAGAAGUGGCACCUGUGUUUAACCGAAGCCCUAUGGGCAUACAGAAUGGCCUGUCAUGGGGCCACCAAGUUAUCUCCUUAUCAGUUGGUAUACGGUCACGAUGCAGUACUUCCAUGGGAAUCGAGGGCAGGAUCAAGGCGCAUUUCACUUCAAGACCAGUUAUCGGCCGACGACUACUCGGCACUUAUGAAAGAAGAACUUGAUGAUGUGGCCGGUCAUCGACUAAGGGCUCUGAUAAGUAUCGAAGAGAAUAAAAAGAGAGUGGCCAGGUGGUACGAUAAAAAGGUCAAAGUCAAGCAGUUCUCCCCCGGAGAUUUGGUAUGGAAGUUAGUACUACCGAUCGGGUCGAAAGAUCCUAAAUUCGGUAAAUGGUCUCCUACCUGGGAAGGGCCGUAUAAAAUCGGCAAAUGCUUAUAUCUUGGAAACAAUAGAAGGAGAAGAAUUCACUAGAGCUCUGAAUGGGAGGUAUUUAAAAAGGUAUUACCCAAGUAUAUGGGUCGGUGCCUAAGGAAUUAAACACGAUCAUACAUGACCGAUACGAUUCGGUCUUGAGACACACAUAAAGUCAACCGGAACGGCCGAUUACAUUCAUUCGGUACGGGCGACGGGUUACAUGGCCGACAAAAUGUUUAGUCGCCCUUAGAACAAAAAUACAGCAACUAAUUAUUCUUUUUCUUACGCUCCCUCUCAGCCCGACCUAACUCUAUCAUGAGUCGGAUGUAUUCUUCUUCUAUGGCCUUCAUUGAAAUCUCCGCUUCGACUUGACCGGGGAGAUCUACGGGAGGGCGCGAAGUCCCCACUCCCGCAUCUUCAAGAACGACUUGCCGAGGGAGUGGAUGACUCCUGUCAAUGGGAGGUCGACGGCUGCCAUUCCUCUCCACGAAGUCCAGGAUCAUUCGGGCCUCCGUGGCGAUGUCGUCUUCAAGAUCGCCACAACGAUCGCCCCUGACAGGUGGAGAUUGCUGGUUACUUUCACUCACCACGGAAUCCAAGACUACGCGAGCCUCCGUGGUAAUGUGAUCCUGGAGCUCUUCUCGGUGAGCCGCGAUCAGCAUCUUGUCCUCCGACGUUAAUGGAUCUUCGGAAUGAAUGCACUCAAUGGCGCGCACGAGCUCGGGGCUAAGACGUUGAGGCUGAAACAAAGAAGGGAUGAGGAGGGAUAUUCUCUUCCUUAGGGUCUAAAAAAGAAAGGAAGGUAGAGGUCAAAAAACUUCACCUGGUUAACAGAGGAAGAAGAAGAUGACGAGGCCAUAGCGAAGAAAUUGCACCGAUGAGAAGGGGCAGAAAGGUUGAACCGAGAGCCAAGAUUGAUGUUACCAGGAGUAAGCGCCGAGCUUGGUAUUUAUAAAAGAAUGCGUGGAAAUCUGGUAAAGCUACGUCCCAUCGGUAAUAAGAAGGCAAUAAAUAGAAAGGGCGUCGCGAGGGGCGGUCAAAGAAGGUAGUAAAUGAUUCGUACAAAACGGUCAGUGUUUUACAGAUUACCCAGAAGGGUAUCGAUGGCCGUGAUGGCCCGACGCCGGAUCUGAUCGGCAGAGUCAAGUACCCGUUGGUCUUCUUCCGCCGAUCCAGGAACCUCCGAUGCGCUGCGAUGGAGUCUCAGUGCCUCGUGAGCAAAGCGUUGCCUCUCCCGUGUUAAAUCGGCAAUAACAGAAGGUAGCUCUUCGAGUUUGUUCUCUUCGGCACUGAUUGCCUUGAUCACUUGCUCCAUUUCCUUGGCAAGCUCCGCCCUACGACGCUUGAGACGGUCUAUUUCUCCUAUGAUCGCCGGACGGGAAUCUUCUAGGACAUGGAUACGCCGAUUCGCCUCUUGAGCCUGACGUUUGAAAGCGUCUUCCUCUUCGCGAGCCUUGGUCAGCUUAGCGCGAUCGGCCAUGUGACGAAGGGCUCUGAAGACCGGGAUCCUCAUAGACUCGAUGAAGGCCGCCGGCGCCAGGGCCUCCUCCGCCUCUUCUGGUACUCGUCCGCUGACGUCAUUGAAGAGCUGCCGAAUCGGCGAGGCGUCUUCUACUAAUCGGCCGAUGUCCCCUUGAAGGAGGGAUCGGAUGCUGGAAAGUUUGGCUCGGACGUCGUCAGGAACGGAACUCAAGGCGACUUGGCGAGAAGCAACUUCUUCGUCGUCAGAGAGGGCGACCGCAAAAGAAAAGAGACUGUUGUCGGGGGUAUCCUGUUCCUGAAGAUAAUAAAGAAAAGAAAUGAACCAGCUGUAAGAAAGAGCAAAUCGGCUAAGAUGGAGGCCGAAACAGAAAAAUACCAUUUUGAAGCGAAUCUCCUCAUGUUGCACUUGAGAAGCCGCCAUGCCUUGCUCGGGGGCCUGCGCCAUGGGUUCAUCAGAUGGAGAGGACUCCACGAUAAUUGGCGCAGUGUUUGGACCAGCCUCCUGACAAGAAAUCGGCGAUCGAGGAGCGAUUGAUGUGCCGAUGGCCUGUGUCAGAAGUUUGAAUAAAUACGGUACGUAAAUGCCCAAAGGAAAUCGGUACGAGAAGUUCUAUACAUUAACGGAAGGAAACGGGGGCACGUCAAUAGCUGGAGGGGCUGCUGCCGAUUGUGGUACUUCUGUAGGGAUGCUCUGUGCAGUUUAAAGAUAAAAGAAAAAUUAAUAUCAAAAAUAAUAAUCGGAGACAGCGCAACUCAGUUUUACCUGUAUGGCCUCCAACAACAACGAUGCGGCGGCCGCCCCAGCUUGCGUCAUGGUUUGAGUAUCGGCACCUUGAAUGACUUGAGGAGGUGGUACGGCCGAAGUGUCUGCCGAUACGCUCACGGGAGGAUCCGCCGAUCCCGUACGAGCCCGGACUCGGCGACUGGUCUUCUUGGUAGUCCUUUUAUGAACUUGUUUCGAUCGGCCAGUAAUCACGUCAACAGACGGGGCGUUAUAGCCGAUAAGGGGAUAAGUAGUGUAUGGAUGACUCUCUAUCAGUCGUCCGCUGCGGCUGUGUGUUGGAGGGAUCCGAUUCUCGGCCUAAAAUAAUAAAAUCAUUAGUACUCGGUCGUGUUAAGGGGAAUAAAAGGGAAUAAAAAUCGGCUAUGUGAAGUACCUCGGCGUUUGGAUCAAUGUUGGUCGGGUCCAGAAGAUUGCAGUAUGCCGAUGCUGAGUUGCAGAAGAGGAAUUGCUUCCAAUCAGCCCACCAUAGUUUGAACGGCUGAACAGCAAAUGGAGCUACUAGCCAGUCGUUCAAGUUAAUUGUACUGGAGUCUGGAAUUCGGUCUCGCAACCGACCGUAAUCUAGGCUAGAUUUGAGAUCAUCUCUAAACUUGAUUUUGCCAGCAAAGUACACCUGAAUCGGCAGCUGACCCAUGCCAAAUUGUCGUGCCGCAGCAGAAGGGUUGUAGAAUUCAUACGUAGGGGCAUCCUUCCCUGAGAAGAAAUUGGCCGGUAGGAUCCCUGGCUUGAUCAACCCUUCAUAGAGAUCUUCAUCAAACCGGCCAGAAGUUGAGUCAAAGCAGGAAGGGAGCUCGAAGAUGGGAAUGUCUCGCUGGUAUGGAAACCAGAUAGUUGCGUCCUCAUUAAAUCCAUCGUAAAAGCACCGAAAGUACUCGGCUACCUUUGUAGCGGAAUACGCACAACCUGGAAAAGCUGAUGCCGCUUCACCAUAAGACAUGCAUCGGCGACGCUCGGUAGGGUCUUCCGCCGAUUCAAUAUUGGGAAACGUCAUGUGGUCCACUGGCUGCCGGGUGAUCCUGUUCAUGUAAAGGUUCAACCAUAGAUUGACGAACCACCAAGGCCCACCUGGGUUGCCGAUUGGUUCUCCCUUGGAAAGUUUUGUGCCGAUUUGGUGGAGCAUGUGGUACACAGCACCCAGAAGAUGUUUCCCGAGAGGAAUGUGGCUUCCUUUGGACAGUGCCUCGGCUAAAGAUUGGGUGUUGGUUGUUGGGCCGGCGGCUCUUCCACAGAAAAGGUGUUUUUCUAGCCACAUCAUCAGGAAAGCGGUGUGCUCCCUAUUAUCAAUAGUACCGGUCUUCUUGUUAUUACUAAUAAAGCCCUUCCAGCUGCCGAUUCCUCUUACGUCCAGCCGAUGCGACGGUACGGUCAGAAGUUGGAAAGGCGUGUCAGGAGAGGAUAUGUCCAGGCCGGUCAAGAGGACCACAUCGGCCAGAGUGGGGGUCAUAGGACCGUGUCCAAAUAAGAAUGCAUUAAGAGCGUCAGACCAAAAAUAGGAAGCCGCCAUCACUAGCGGUUCGUUUUUCUCCAUUUGCGACAGAGAGAGGUUGAUACAUUGGCCGAUUUUGAGUUCAUCCCACAAGACGCUCUUUGACGUGGCCAUCCGUUGGUACCAUUCCCUCCAACCGGGGGUUUCAUUCGGCCAAGAUCUAAAAGUGCUGGCCCAUUGAUCUAAGUUCAUGUCAGAUCGUUUGAAAGGUAUCCGGUCAGUUUCCAAGUUUAUGAGGUCUGCUGGAUCUGGGUCUCCCAUGGGACCAAGGCAAACAAGGCCAGGACUACCCGUGAGAUGGAUAGUGAUUCUAUGUCUAACCGCCUAAAUGAGGAAAAGAGGCAUAAGAAUAUAAGGAAUAGAUCUAAGAUAAAUACGUUACCGAUAGAGGAAAAAUUCGGUGUUUACCUCCGGUAUAAAAUUCUGAGUAAUCGGUGUGGUCGCCGAUGCAGAUGCAGAUGAUGAAGCCGUAAUGGGGAUCGCCAUUGGGAUCUCUGAUGAAGCUCCUUCAUCUAUGGAUGGAGUGACGGUUGUUGCCACCGUUACCGGAGGUGCUACCUCCACCGGGGGCAUUGUCCCUGGAGCAUCGCGUGCUGGGGAAUUACCGGAGGGAGUCGCCAUUGAAGGGGAGGGGAAGAAGUGACAGGAGCUGGAGCUGGAAGGCUUCGAUGGCAAGAUUGAAGAAGGAAGGAAGUGCGCGCGCUGGAAAGAGGGAUGUGAGCUUGAAGAUGAGUUGCGGUGAAAUGAUAUUUAUAGGGUGCCUGAAGAAAGGGUAAAGAUGGAAUUUUCAACGCGCCGGCGCGUCGAGUUUUUCGGGGUAGUGGCUGUCGUGGGCGCCCGUUUCAAAAAAUUGCAAUGAUCAGCCGGGAGACCGCGAAACGGAAGGAUAUUUUCACUGCGGCCGUUUCGGAAGAGAGGUUAUAAAGAAUUUCGAAGUAAAAGGCUAUGUUUUACUCCGAAACUGGGGGGCAUGUGUUGACGCCGGAUUUCGUCAUCAGUAGAAUCGGCGCCAAAGAGGAAAGAAAUCGAAGGAGGACGGAUGGAAAUCGGCCAAAAGGUGCUACAGCGCGGAAUCGGUCAAGUGGCUUUUACUUUGCUUCAGAGUGAAUACGCCGGGUUCCCAAUCGGCAAUCCUUUGCUGAUAAGAAAUCGGCCGAUCAGGAAGGUGGACUAAGGUGGGCCUGUAUGGGCUUGGAAAGAUGGAAGGAUAAGGUGGAGUUCAGCCCAUGAAGCGUGGGGUAAUUAGUUUAGCUCGGAUUGUGCUUGUAGAUAUUUGUUUUCUGUUUAAAUUAGAGAUAGAGUCCUAGUCGGUUAAGAAGAUUAUUUGUACGGGGCUAUAAAUAGCUACCUUUGUAAAUCUGUAAAAAAAAAAAACAAUCAAUCAAUACAACAAGUUACUUUAUUCUUCGUACUUACUUUCGAGCAGGCGACUUCGCCAUCACUUUUCCUUCUCACGAGUUCGUGCGGGUUGGCAGGGCUGCAUCAUCUUGAUCUCCGGCCGAUUCUGUAAGUUCCGUUUAUCGAGUAAUAUCUAAGCUUUAACUUCCGGCGCAUCGCUGUUGUUUCGUUUAGAUUUUAUUCAUCAGUUAUCGAUAUCGACUAGAUUCAUAGGUUUUUACCUGUUCUCCUAGUUUUUAUCACCAGUUACCCCGCUAGGAAUCGGUAGUAUCGGCUUUCAUUACUUUCUGUUACCAAAUCCAUCUGUUGCCGAUUAGAUCUUUUCCUGGUGCUGUUACUACGUGCCUUGUACCGAUUACUUUAAUAUUUUUCUAUCUACAAGGCUACGGGGGUCGUGCUGUCUUGUAGCCGAUUUCUUUACCACAGUAAAUCGGCCGAUCUGCCGAUAAGCUCUCUCGAUCGGAAACUUAGCCGAUCGUAGUUACUGAUUUUGACACGUGUUCUUCCUUGCCAAUCAACAGGUCAGAUUGGCUGGCACGCCGUGCGAACCGCACCAGGGCAUUCACCCGAACAGGAGCUAAGCAGAUUCUCCCGGGUCGUGUGUCGGCCGCUGGGAUUCGGUUGACCGAUUUCUAGCGCCAACAUCUGCGCAUUCAAAUAAUUUAAUUGAAUAAUUUCUUGAUCACAGCAAUGCAGUAAAAUAAAUAUUUUACAGGCUAAAUGAGUUGGUAUAGAAUUAAUGAUUACUUCAUACUUAUUGUCAAUUUACUCGUUAAUUAAAUAUAUUUUUGCAUGUACAAAAUCUGUGAAGGUUUUGUUUUUCAUCCUGAAAUGCAGUGAAAAGGUAAAAUAAAAUCCAUUUCCAAAAAACAGGCGGGAGAAGAAAAAUAGGAAAAAAGACCUUUUGUCUCGGGGCUAACAGCAACCGGGACAAAAGGCCCCCCUUUUAUCCUGGUUGCCAACGGCAACCGGGAUAAAAGGGUACGUUUCGUCUCCCGCCCAAACGUACCCUUUUAUCCCGGUUGCCAACUGCAGCAGGGAUAAAAGGGUACACUCCCAGCCCCACCUGGCGGGGGUACCCUUUUGUCCCGGGUCCCGUCGCCAACCGGGAUAAAAGGGGGGGGGCCUUUUAUCCCGGUUGGUGNNNNNNNNNNNNNNNNNNNNNNNNNNNNNNNNNNNNNNNNNNNNNNNNNNNNNNNNNNNNNNNNNNNNNNNNNNNNNNNNNNNNNNNNNNNNNNNNNNNNGACGAGACGACGACGCGAGACGACGACGGCCGAGGCGAAGACGACGACGGCGGCGUAGGCGGGACGGCGACGAGACGGCGACGAGGGGCGACGAGGAUGGAGCCGGCGACGAGGAUGUGGAGCCGGUGGCCGGAGGCGACGAGGUGGCCGGGGGCCGGGCGCGUCGACGGACGAGGAGGGGAUCGAGGAGGGCCGGCCGGGGGACGACGACGGCGCAAUGGGGGACAUCGACGGCGCAAUGGGGGACGACGACGGCGGCGGCCGGUGAGGGAGGCGGACGGGCGGCGACGGCGGAGAACGCGCGGGACUUGCGAAAUUUUGGCUAAGUGUGUAACUGGCAGGGGGUAGAAGGGAGUACAGUGCCUUUUAACCCCCCCCUUUUAUCCCGGUUCGUAAUAGGACCCGGGACAAAAGGCUCUUUUGUCCCGGGUCCUAUUACGAACCGGGAUAAAAGGGGGGGGUUAAAAGGCACUGUACUCCCUUCUACCCCCUGCCAGUUACACACUUAGCCAAAAUUUCGCAAGUCCCGCGCGUUCUCCGCCGUCGCCGCCCGUCCGCCUCCCUCACCGGCCGCCGCCGUCGUCGUCCCCCAUUGCGCCGUCGAUGUCCCCCAUUGCGCCGUCGUCGUCCCCCGGCCGGCCCUCCUCGAUCCCCUCCUCGUCCGUCGACGCGCCCGGCCCCCGGCCACCUCGUCGCCUCCGGCCACCGGCUCCACAUCCUCGUCGCCGGCUCCAUCCUCGUCGCCCCUCGUCGCCGUCUCGUCGCCGUCCCGCCUACGCCGCCGUCGUCGUCUUCGCCUCGGCCGUCGUCGUCCCGCCGUCGUCGUCUUCGUCCUCGUCGCCGUCCCGCGCGCCGCCCGGCCGCCGCCGUCCCGCCGCCCCGGCCGCCGCCGUCCCGCCACCCCGGCCGCCGCCGUCCCGCCGCCCCGGCCGCCGCCGUCCCGCCGACCCGGCCGCCGCCGACCCGCCGACCCGGCCGCCGCCGUCCCGCCGUCCCGCCGUCCCGGCCGUCGGCCCGCGCGGGAGAGGUCCGCUGCCGCGCCGGCCGGCAGCGCCGGGAGGGUUUUCUUUUUAAGUUAAUUAGAAAAUUAAGUUUUAUUUUUAGAUAGAAUUGUAAUUUUGUUAAGUUAGAUUUUUAGAUUUCUAGUUAGUUUGUUAAGUUAGAUUUCUAGUUAGUUUUUUAAGUUAGAGUUGAUAUAGAGAUCGCCGAGUAGCCGCCGUGAUCGUCGCCUUGUAGCCGCCGUGAUCGCCGCCGAGUAGCCGCCGUGAUCGCCGCCAUCCCGCCGCCCAUCACAACCUAGUAGGCACCGCCCGUGGUUCCGGUGAACCGUCCCCGCCGUACCGCCGCCCUGACCGCCGCCGUCCCGCCUCCGCCGCCCUGAUCGCCGCCGUCCCGCCUCCGCCGCCCUGAUCGCCGCCGUCACAACCUAGGCACCGCACGUGGAUAUUGUUACAAAUUCGUAGAAAUUCGUCAAAAUUCGUAGAAAUUCGUCAAAAUUCGUAGAAAUUCGUAGAAAUUUGUAGAAAUUCAUAGAAAUUCGUAGAAAUUCGUAGAAAUUUGUAGAAAUUCGUAGAAAUUCAUAGAAAUUCGUAGAAAUUCAUAGAAAUUUGUUGAAAUUCGUCAAAAUUCAUAGAAAUAUUUCGGACUUUGUACGAUUCAUGUUAUUUUAUGAUUUCAUUAUAUACAUGUAUGAUUCCAUUCCGGACUUUGUACAAAUUUGUAUUAAGACGAUUUCUAUGACUGUCAUGUAUGAUUCCAUGUAUGUUUCCAUCAAUAGUUGAAAUGGCAGACGAUGAGACCGCAAGGUAUAUCAUGGAGCAGAUAAUCGCUGGUGAUGGUAGUGGCGACAACGUUCCACUAUCAUACACGUAUGAAGAGGGCACCCAGGCGGACAUGUUCCUCAACAUGUCCGCUGAUGGGAAUGAAGAGCAACAGCCGCAACAACAACUUGCCGUGGCGGAAGGUUCCGGCGAGGUAUAUACAACCAUUCUUGUAUUGUUUCACGCCACCGCUACUACUACGUACUAAUUAACGAAUCUUGAACUGUUAGCCCUCCGGAUCGACACAAGGGCAGAAGACCUGAGGUCGUACAAAGGUGAUGGAAGGGAGGCUUGUCAUCACCGAAGUUACAGAAGAGGGCAAGCCGGUUGCUCCCGAGAAAGUAGCAAAGAAGUACGUGAGUCAAAUCGGGGCAAUCGUUCGGGACAACGUGCCUAUCAGCAUCAGAGAAUGGAAGGGCAGAAGAGAUAAUCCGUACGCCCUUCCAGAGAUAGAAAAGAAUAUGCUGUGGGAAGACGUGAAGAGACAUUUCACAUUCCCCGAAGGAUAUAGCGAGAAGGAUGUCAAAGCGUGGACGCUUAAGAAGAUGGCUACUCAAUUCCAGACAUUCAAGAAGAUGCUGGACACCCACUACAUCAAGAAGGGCAAAACUCCAGACUUCAACGCGUGGCCAAAGUUGAGGGACCACUGGGAUGCAUUUGUUGAAUACAAGAGGAGUGAAGAAGGUGUGAAAAAGAUCACGACCAACAUAGCAAAUGCUAGUCAGAAGGGCUACCACCAUCAUUUGGGGUGAGGUGGGUAUGGCUCAGCAAUUCCCAAGUGGAGGAAGAUGGAACAAGAUCUGAUCGAACGGGGAAUCGUACCUGCAACUAUUGAAUGGCCCGAACGAUCAAAGAACUGGUACUACGCUCAUGGAGGCUCCCUAAGCCAAGAGGAUGGGACGCUGAUUUUCAAUGACACAAUACGUGAGAAGGCCGAACAUCUCAUGAAGAACAUUGAAGAUUCCAAGGCUGGGAGGUUGAGGGUGGACCAAGAAAAUGAUGAGCUCACAUUGGCCCUCGGUAAUCCAGAGCACCCAGGACGUUGCCGGGGGUUCGGGGUGGUUCCGUGGAAGUUCGCUUUCCGAGGCGACAGCGCCUCUUACAGAAGCCGGAAGCGAAGAAAGGAACAGAUGGAGGAGAGCUGGUAGCAGAUGGUAGAACAAAGAAUGAUGGAUGAAAUCAAUCGGCGGGUGGCCGACGCAGUUGCGGAGUUGGCGCAAUCUGGAGCAAUGCCGAAUCCUAACACCGCCAGCCCUUCUCAACGCCUCGGGAGCAGUUGUGCUUCUACAGGGGUCCCCGAUGCGCAGACGCCCAGGUUACCCGUGGAGGAGCAAUGGUUCCCCGUGGAUGCCAUCACGCAACGGACCUCAUGUAAGCUGCAUGCACCGGUCGGCAACCUCACUAUUAAGGUAUACUUAUACAUAAUAUUUAUGCAAUCUUGUCAAUUGAUCCAGGCCUCGAGAUCGGAGUUCAACCUGUUUACUUCUACUAUAUGUACAGGUAGCGUACGGGAGUGUGUUACCAACCCUGGCAGGGCAGAGCAGUCAUGGCAUGGACAUUCCAACAGGCUACGCCAGCGUCUGCGUCGAGCAAAUAGUUGAUCCCCAGUAUGAAGGUCUAGAGCUCGACUUCCCGGGAGGCGACGGGGAAAAGACAUUGGCAGAUGCGCUUCAUGGGAUCAUUCUAUGGAAGAAACGCUACAUCAUUAUUCCCCGCACGGAGCCAUCUCCUCAGACCUCAAGACCACUCCCCGUAGAUCCCCAGCAGCGACCUUCUCCUCAUACCUCGAGACCGGCAUCUCCUGCUCCAGGACCGUCUCUUCCAUCUAUAUCAAGGUCUCCAUCUCCACCACAUCCUGGUGCUGGGAGCGACGACGACAAUAACAACACCCCUCCCCGAUCACCGUCACCGGCACCAAGAGCGGCCCCCUCGAAGGAACCUGCAGCACCACUCAAGAAGUCACGAGCACCGCCUCCCAAGCAAAGACAGAGAAAGAAGAAAACAAAGGUCGACCCUGAAGUGGCUCGCAAGGAACGCUUUGAGGCAAUGUCUCAUGAAGAACAGUGGGCAGAAAUCCAACGAGAGGCCAGUGAGUGGUUCAAGAAACAAGCCGAAUUAAAAAAGGCAAGGGAGAUGGAGCCACCGUCAGUAAGUCGGCGAGAUUUAAACUUUUUUAUCAGGAUGGAGGAAGAAGCCAAGAAAAGGAUACCACUCUUGUCAAACUAUGAACGGGCUCUAGUAAAGGCUGAUGAAAAGGAUAAAAGGAAAGGAAAAUCAUCCUCCAGCAGUCCAGUCCCCGACCUCAGCCAUUUAUCAAAAAAAGAUGCUCAACGGGUAAAAGCAAUGCCCUUGGAUCAACAAGCAAAUAUAUUGAAGUUCAUGGAAGAAACAGGUCUGGGACUUGAUGAAUGCAUAGGGCAAGUCGAGACGCCAACUGCACCGCCCCCUGAGCCGAAGUGGACUUAUGAGCUAGGCAAACCUCUAGUAAAGCCUUCAAUGGUACGGAAGCUAUCAACAAAGAUGUACGAAUUCCAUCAAUGGUCGGCAUGAAGGUAAAACCGAUAGAUUUUCACGGUGAAGGGGAGAAAGUGCUGUGGCUAGACUUCAAGGAUAUAUACGAAGUGUACCAUCAUGAUGCCCUGGACGUCUCUCUGAUCAGCGCUUGGAUUCUGUAAGUGUCCGUUUAUUAUCUCUACAUGUAAAUUUUGGCGUGCGUCACCGUACUAACUUCAUCUUCCAUUUCAUGUAGGAUGCUAAUUCAGACAUGCCGCCGAGAGGCGUACCUACAUGUAGGCUUCAUGGAUCCAUCUGUAGUUAACCAACAACAGAUACAAUUAGCGCCGGAAAAAACCUUUGCGGAAAUAUACAAUUUCCUACACAAACAAACAUUCAAGGAUUUCAUACUACUUCCAUACAACUUCAAGUAAGUGUGUGUAUACCGUCUACUUUCGAUGUCUUUUUCCUUAUCUCUACAUGUUAGUUAGCUCUAAUAUGCAUGAACAUUUUACGCACGCAGCUUCCACUGGAUCCUUAUUAUAAUUGAGCCUGAAAGAAGCCACGUCACUGUCUUAGAUUCGUUAAGGAAAGAUCCGAUGGACUACCAAGAAUUGCAAGACAUGCUAGGCUUGUAAUAAUUCUGGACCUUUAUCUCUAUGCAAAAAUUUAUUUCCUAAAUUUUAUCCCUGUUACACUAUGUCAUUCAUUAUUCUAAUCCGCAGCGCAUGGAAACAAUUCAUAAGGACACACAAAGGUCCAUUCAAAGAAAAUCUUACAUGGAACACAGACUUCCCGGUACGUAUGCAGUCUGCACAUUUAUUACAUUGUAUAACACAAAUAUUUCAUAACUUAUUUUUUUCCGCACUGAAGUGCUUAAGACAGGAACCCGGGAAUAAUCUAUGUGGCUACUACAUCUGUGAGCACAUGCACAGUUUUUUGGGACCCAAGGGACCGAAGAUGACGCCGCACAACUUUAAAGUACGUAAAAUAACUAUAUUACUAGUUAAUUAUUUUCUAGCUCCUUAUAUGUAUUUGUUCAUGUAACAUUCACAAAUUUCCAAAUUAUAGAUGUUAAAUAUUCAACAAGGACUCUUGAAGGAAGAAAGAGUAGCGGCAAUAUGUGAAGGUCUCAUUGGAUUCAUAAUGGACGAGGUGGUGGACGAGGUGGUAAAUCCAAGAGGAGAAUUUUAUUACGAUGGACGACAAUUAGACACUCCGAUCAGCAACACCACGAUGGAUACUUUGAUUUAUUUGUAUAUAUAAUACGCGCUAAUUAUGAUCGAUUUGUACUAAGCUAGUUGAAUUGUGUAUAUGAAUUGUGUAUAAGGAUUGUGUAUAUAUAUAGUAAUUGUAUAAUUACAAAUCCCAUUCGUUUAAAUACUAGUUGAUUUCGUUCUAAAAAAAUCUCAACUACAAGGUUAACAAAUUAAAAGGGCUGCGGUACUACUAUACGUAUACGUGAUGCAUGCAUGAAAAAUUCAGACGUCACGGCUGUGCCAUGCAAGCGCCAUUUAGUCCCGGUUGGAAUCGAGCCGGGACUAAAGGGGACCCCUUUAGUCCCGGUUGGGAAAUCCAACCAGGACUAAAGGGGGACCUUUACUCCCGGUUAAAAGACCCGGGAGUAAAGACCCCCCCCUUUUGUCCCGGUUGGUUUAUCCCGGAUGGAUAUCCGAGAGAUAUGCACCCUACCAACCGGGACUAAAGGCCAAUUCUCUACCAGUGUAGACCAAACAUGAUACACACCAUGCGUACCUUGCUGUGCAGACUAUGCAUUGACAAGAUACCCGACCACAUGUUGGCCUCGGUCACAUCAAAAGAAUCAUGUAGGCCACCAAUAAACUACUUGAAGCGGCAUUCCGUAUCGUAUAUGCAUUGCCGGUUCAUCUGCAUUACAUUACAUAAAGCACUAUUAACUAUUUGAAUAAAAUGAACCAAUUUAAAAGUAAUGUGUUGUACUCUACUAUAGAAAGCCCUAUCACUGCCGGAUCCAAAAACAUCAUUGUUAAUGGUGGUUAAGUACCAAAUAUGAUGGUCAAUAUUCUCAAGAAUAAUGGAGAAUUAGCAUUUCUUAGACACAUAUUUGGUUUUGAACAAUGUAGUUCCACAUGUCUUUGGAGAUUAUUUGGGUGUGGGUGAAAUAAUACAAAAAUAAGGAGAAAACACACUCCCAUGGCAAAGAAACACAACUCCAACCAAUGAGAGAUAGCCACAGGGGCAGCACACGGAUCCAUGGGCCCACAAACCGCAUCAAACCGUCUUACCAAGGCAGGUAGCACCCACAACCGUCAUUAGGACCCACCUGGAAGUCUACCAAGAAGAAGGUUGCGAGUGGGGCCAGGAGGGGUUCGGUUGAAUCAUCUCUAGCUAGCUCCCCUCAUCCCCAGCUGGUGGGUGGUGGUGGUUGAUGGUGUCCCUACAUCGGUUAGAGGAGAUUCCCCCAAAUAUUCCUCCUGUAAACCACCUCUAUGGACCUAUACAUAGAGGGGUGUGCUCUCCAUUCCAACACACACCACAAGUUGAAUCACUGUCUCCCUCUUUAGUUUCCAAGUUUAUGGAGUUAGGCUAGAGUAGCUCUGCUCAAGGUUCCAAGUCCACUUGGAGUUAAGCAUAUGUCUCUUGUAUCGUUAUUUCCUAAAUUGACUUUAUGCUUAGUUCUUAUAUGCAUGAGUUAGUCUAAUACCCUUGCUCUAUUGAUAUGCUCGACUUAUAUGCUCGUAUGCUAGUCAUAUACCCUUGCUGUCGUAGUAUAGGCUUAUAUGCUCUCAUGUGUGCCUGUAGACCUUGCUAUAGUAUAUACUUGUUGUGUAUACAUACCAUGUAUAGGCUAGUCGAUCUAUACCAUGGCAUUGGUUCAAUAGCCAUGUUUUUGGUGGCUCCAGCCCUAGUCACAAUAGCUCGGGACAGCUGGAGUGUUGUUAAAAAUGCAAGAGUGGUGCUUGGGUUGUUUAGCAUCGUUGGAUAUGGGUUUGCCCCACAGGUUUCUAACGGUAGGCGACAGCUAGUGACAUCCCUGUCCGUCCUUCGUAAUCCCCCCACAUUCAGGUACGCCAUAAAUGUUCGUAAAUUAGCAGUAACUACGCCGGUACACCCAUAGGGUAUUGUCUCCCUGUAGUACCUUGGUGCAUAGAACUAAGUCCUAUACACUGUGUGUGUAUGUUUACGCUGAUAUGAUCUGUGCAGUAUAUAGGAUGUAUAUAUGAACCUAGAGCUAACUCCUAGUCCGUUCUCCAUAGCUUAGUUAUCUUGAGAUGAUUCUUUUGUAUGUGUAACACUACCCAUCUUAUCAUUAUCCUUGCUCCUGUCUUGUGUAAUAUAUCUACUCAUCCUAUGAUAUACUCAUAUGCAUAGUAAACUAUUUUGACCUACCCGCCUUCCUUUGGGAAAUAUGAUACCCUGGAAUAAUCCUAGGUGAAAUCCUACAACGGUAUAUCCAUGUGCUUGCGGAUUUAUUCAUGACCAUUAAAUAUACCAACAAUCAUCACUGCCGGUUAUGGGCGUCGUUAGUGAAGGGUUGGUAGUGAUGGGCAUCCCCUUCACCAAUGGACCUGGAACCGGCGGUGAUGGCUGUUAUAAAAAAGGGGACACCACCCAGCGUACCCCGCGACCCGGCUGGCCGCACCUCCCAUCAUCCCCGCCAGCCGCCCUUCCUUUUCGCCGGCCGAGCAUGGUCCUGGCCUUUGUCCCUACCGCCUCGCCUCCACCGCGACCCCCCGCCGAUGCCCUCAUGCCUGGCCCCCCUCAUCUUGCCGGCCACCCUCCCGAUGCGUCCACUAGGGCCCUCACACCACCAACCGCCCUUGCCUAGAGAGGGAGAGAGAGGAGGGAGGUGAGGCCACGCACCUCGUCCUACACCGCCGCUGUUUCUCCUCGGCCCACCGCGCCUCACCCCACACCACAGCCGCGCCUUGCCAUCUUACCGGCUGCGACGCCUCAUCUCACCGGCCACCGUUCCUCACCCCCACUUCGGUCGUCGCCGCUCCUUGCCCUACUGCUGCUCUUUGCCGCUGCGACUGAGCGGCGAGUGGAGGAGGAGGGACGGGGCAGGAGGAGGGCAAGAUCCGGGAGGAAGGGAGAGAUCUUGGGAGGUGGAGAUGGAAGGAUAUGGCGGAAGGGAGAGAUCCAGAGGGAGAGAGCAGGGGAGAGAGGGGGGCAUGUGGGGAGAGAGUGCGUGUGGGGUGGGGCCAGGCUGGUGGGAUGGAAGGGAGAGGGGCUAGACGGGCGCAGUGCAUUCAACUGGAUGAAGUAAAUAUUUCGGAUUCGAGACCCCAGCUUUAUUAUCACCGCUGGUCCGUAGUACCAUCCGGUGCCUGCUCGUAAUUUAAUUUGAAUCUGCGGUGAUGUUUUAUUAUCACCAUCGGAUCAUAUAAAAAAUCCGGCGGUUAAAAAUCCGCUGGUUUCGAUGAAAACCGACGGUGAUAGGAUGACUGUGAUAGUCUCUUCUCUAGUAGUGGUAUAUUAGUACCGGCUGCCAGACGGUGUUGCCGACCAGUACUUCUCCGGAGGCGAUUCAGUACUGCUGUUAGCAAAGCUUGUUCUCUAUGAAUCUGGGGAUGGAAAGCUAGUUCUCUAGUUGUGAUUUGUUACAUAUAUAUCUAUGAUAGUCUAGAAAUUGCAUGUCCUUCGUUGACAUAGUUGAAGCUGCGCGCUUCAAGAAUUUACUUCGUGCAGUCGUGCAGCAUAUUGGAUUAUCACCUAGACAGGAUACAUAGGUGAAGCAUUGGAUGUGAUUGUGGCCGAUAAUUAUGCAGGACGCUGUUGCAAUCAACCACCAAGAAGUCUGGAGUGAUGGGGUUGCCUCAUCAAUAAUUUUUAUAUAUGGCUGCAGUAUUAUUAAGCCCACGUCAAUAAUUUUUUCUCCGCACCAUAUAUCGAUGGGGUUGCCUCAUCAAUAAUUCGCGCAACCAGACAAGCUGCAGACUCAAUAUGGUACGAAGCUAGUUGCUCAGCCCACAUGCUCUGAUAUAACAUUGACAUCUGCUGAUCUACAGUAUAUAUGACCAGAAAUAUUGUGCCCACCUCAAUAACUUUCUGAAGUAUCGUGGGGAAGAACCUACUCGUACUAUGCCUCGGAACUAACUGACAUAUCGGCCUAGGCGGUCUAGGCCGAUUGGACUGGCUCUUCCUUGUGGCUUCUCACGUCCCCUUCGUCCCCAAGUAAUUUCAGGUGUUCUGCAGUUUCCUUUUCACUUGCAUCUGAGCCUCAUAUAUCAAUAGCUUCGGGAUAAGAAUGCCUCUUGAUAACCUUCCAAAUCCUCGCUUGAUUCACAUUGAUUCCGAAAUCAUCUUGCCAUAUCUUCAGAGACUUAGGUCCUAAGGCAUCAUGGAGGAUUGCUCGCCAGGAAUGAGCACCAUUGGGCUCCUGAGGACCCUAGGCCGAUCAGCCCGGGCUCUAUAGGUCGAUUGGCCCAGGCCCUCUCUGGGCCCGUUGGCCUUCAUCUUUCUCUGAGUCGACGCUUAUUCAGGGCUUUGUCCAAUUAUAGUCUAUUAUAGUCUAAUUUCCUACAAAAACAGAAUGUCCUCCAAAAUACAAUGCAUAUGUGAAAACAGCCCAAUUAUUAGGUAUGAUCAAUAGUUUAGGUAUAUAAAUUAAUAUUAUUAUUUAAGAUAAACAGGGGUAAAGGGUGUCAUUAAUAACAAGCGCCAACAAGCGUCCUGGCUGUUCAAUAAAUUUUUUCUAGUACCGAUUGGUAACACUAACCGGUGCUAAUAUGUACCCUUUAGUACCGGUUAUUUUACCAGGUACUAAAGGAGACAAGAGCAUCCUAACAUAAGGUUAAUAUCAUCCAUUUCAUGAGUAAAAUACUAUGAUUCAAAAAUAAUUCAAAUCCCUUAAGACAAUACCUAUCAAAUGAGUAAAUUGUAAAUAGAGUAAUCUUGAUCAAACAAUGUCCUAAUGAAACGGAACACUUCUGGUUCGUGUAGAGCACAAUAUAGAAAACAGUAGGGUAGCUGUACGAUUGACACGUGGUCCAUUAAUUCUUGAGCCAACACUAUGGACAUGUCUUCAUGAGUAGUGUACUAGUCAUGAUACAUGGUAUGCAGUAGGUGGAGGUAUUGACUUAGCCAUGCUAUGAGCACUUAGUUACAACAAACACUUUGCCAUUAUCGAGCAUCCCAAAUCACUACAAAAUCCAUAGUUUACCAUAUACUACAAAAUCUGAGUUAAAAUAAGAGCAUACACGGAAGAGUCCGAAUGCACCGGCACAUUGAAUUACUAGACAAAAAUUAUGGGACAAGGUUUUGGGUAACCGCAUGAAAAAUAUUGGAUUUUACUGAACACUUAGUUACAAUUACCAUGCCGUGAGCACUUAGUCACCACAAACAUUUAACCACUUUAGAUCAUCCUGAAUCCCUAUAAAUUCUAUACCUUACACCGUACCAUGAAAACGACAAGAACAGAGACAGAUGCGGUGAAAAUCUCCAGAGCAAGCCUGAAAUUAAAAUAAGAGGAGGCAGUCACUAUCGACAGGACACGGAGAUUGCUAGCCAUGACAGAGGAAGACAUGAUAUGAUAUUCACCUCUGAAAUGCAGCGUAGACUAAAUGAAGCACAAUUGCAAGUGAGUGUGGCAGAUAAUGGACCAUCGAGACCAUCGAUUGGUAUGAAGCAUGAUUAUCACCUAGACAUGAUAUCCUAGACAGGACGGUGAAUUGUAAAAAGAGUAAUCUUGAUCAAAGAAUGUCCUAAUGAAACGGAACAUUUUUGGUACGUGUAGAGCACAAUAUAGAAAACAGUAGAGUAGUUGUACGAUUGAACUGCAUCCAUCGACGUGGUGCAUGAAUUGUUGAGCCAACACUGGGGACAUGUCUUCAUGAACACCAUCUAGUGAGGACAGCAUGCAGAAAAAUAUCAAAACAUGUCAUAGGGAGGCAGACCAAUCUUGCGAGGUAGACGAAACGUGAUACACGAUCUGCCUACCUUGUCGUGGAUACCCCAAGUGAAGAUGUCAUAGAGGUGCAGACCAAGCUAGCAAGGAGGUAGAUGAAACGUGAUACACGGCCUGCCUACCUUGCCGUGGAUAUUAGUCCUGAUAUCAUUCUAUUGUUCAAGGAAUAACACUCAAUGCUGCUGCUGCUGCUGACCUGGCUCCAUAAAGUUAUAUUCCUCUAGCCGCUUGCACUAACUUUAUCUGAAGUAUUAUUCUCUCUGCACUGUAUAUAUGGUUACGGAGUUUGCUGGAGUAUCCGGGGGGAAGAACCUACAUAAUAUGUCUUGGAACUAACUGACAUUGAUUCACAGACAAGGUGCUGUUGUUGCCAUAUUUUAGAGCAUCCCAAAGGACUAUAAAUAAUAUAGUUUACCAUAUACCGUAUACCAUUAUAUGUUAGCUAAAAUAAGAGCAUAACAUGUCGCAGGAGUCCAAAAGCACCGGUUGAGGACCAGGUACAUUAAAUUACUAGAAAACGAAAGGGGACAAGGUUUAGGUAGCCACAUGAAAAACAUUUGAAUUUACUGUACCAUGAACACUUAGUUACCAUGCCGGGAGCACCUAGUUAACACUAACAUUUAGCCACUUUAGAUCAUCCCGAAACACCAAUGACCCUCAAUAGCGACAAAUUUUGGUUUAAAUGCCGUCACCAAUGAUCCUCAAUAGUGACGUGUUUAGGUUUAAAUCCCGUCACUAAUAACCCUUGGUAGUGACGUGUUUUGGUUUAAAUCUCAUCACCACUGAUCCUCACUAGUGACGUGUUUUUAGCAACACACGUUAUGAAUGACUUGUCAUUGGUGACAUGUUAAACGCGUUAUCUCAAUGGCAAAUCAAUGGUGACGUGUUUAAAAAAACAUGUCACCGUGAGAGUUAUUGGUGAAGGGUAAUUAAAAUGCAUCACUAAUUUUGUAGCAUUAGUUAUGAUAUAAUUUUGUAACGCAAAAAUCUACCAUAGUAACGAGGUUUAGAGCCGUCGCUAAUGUGGGUUUCUUACGUAGUGAUGCAAGCUCUACAAGGUGCUGUUGUUGCCAUUUUAAAGCAUCCCAAAUGACUACAAGUGUCUGGUUGAGGACUAAACAAAUUGAAUUACUAGAACCAAAUGUAUGUCCAGAACAAAGAAAGGGGUCAAGGUUUGGGUAACCGCAUUAAAAACAUUGGAUUUUACUGUACCAUGAACACUUAGUUACCAUUACCAUGCCUUGAGCACCUAGUUACCACAAACAUUAAUUUAGCCACUUUAGAGGUUCCUCAAUCACUAUAAAUAAUAUACCAACACCGUACCAUGAAAACAUCAAGAAGAGAGACAGGUACAUGGACCACCAUCAAGUGAGUAGUGACAGCAUGCACAAGAAUACCCGGAACCUUUUAGCUUGUCUGUAGUGAUCUGUUUUCUUCCCCGUAAAAUCCAUGAGUAUUGCCACAAAUAAUGAAAGAGGCUGACCAAGCUAGCAACGAGGUAGAGCAAACGUGAUACACGUAGGUUUCAUUCAAGACAUCCAUGUAAGAUUCAUUCAAAACAUUCAUGGAAAUUUCUUAUAAGUUUUCAUGUAAAUUUCAUUCAAGACAUUUGUUAGAGGUGUUGUAUAUAUACUUAACGUACAUAUAUCUAUGAUUUCAUGGUUGUUAGUGAUGGCAGAUGAGGAGCAUGCAAGGUAUUUAAUGGAGCAGAUUAUUGCUAGUGGCAGUGGCUCCAACCUGCCCGUAACGUACACCGACGAAGAGGGCAGCCAGGCGGACAUGUUCCUCAACAUGUCCGGUGAUGGCAAUGAAGAGCCCGAGCAAAACCUUGCCGUGACGGAAGGUUCCAGCGAGGUAUAUAUCAUUUCCAUUAUUUUACCCCAUCUAUAAUUUCAUAUUCAUUAUUACUAUGUACUAAUUAACGAAUCUUGAACCGUUAGCCCUCUAGAUCAACGAACCGAAAUAAGCCCCGAGGUCUUACAAAGAUAAUGCAGGGAAGGCUUCACAUCAUGGAAGUCACAGAAGAGGGCACCUCGGUUGCUCCCGAACAUGUGGCAAGAACGUACGUGAGUCAAACCGGGGCAAUCGUAAGGGACAACGUGCCCAUCAGCAUCAGGGAAUGAAAGAGCAAUAGAAAUGAUCUAUACGCACCCCCGGAUACACAAAAGGAUAUGCUGUGGGCAAAUAUCAAGAAACACUUCACAUUUCCCAAAGGAUAUGUUGAAAAAGAUGUGAAAGCGUGGAUGCUGAAGAAGAUGGCCACCCAAUUCCAAACAUUCAAGAAGAUGUUGGAUGCCAACUUCGUCAAGAAGGGUCGAACUCCGGGUUUCGAUGAGUGGCCAAAGUUAAGGGACCACUGGGAGUCAUUUGUCGAAUACAAGACGAGCGAAGGUGGUGCCAGUAAGGUUCGCAUCAAUGUUGCCAAUGCUAGCAAGGAGUACCAUCAUCAUCUAGGGCGACGUGGUUACAGCACUGCAAUUCCCAGAUGGCGCAAGAUGGAACAAGACUUGAUCGAUCGGGGUAUCGUACCAGCAACUCUUGACUGGCCUGAUCGAUUGAAAAAUUGGUAUUAUGCUCAUGAAGGCAAUCUGAGCCAAGAGGAUGCGACAUUGGUCUUCAAUAAAACAAUACAUCAGAAGGUCGGAAGGCUUAUUAGGAACAUUGAAGAUGCUAAAGCUGGGAGGUUCAAGGUGGAUAGAGAGAAUGAUGAACUCACAUUGGCCCUCGGGACUGUCAUCUCUAGCACUUCCAGCUCCAGGACUAUCAUCACCACCGGGACCGUCGCUUCUUGCUCGAUCACAGUCUCCAUCUCCAGCACAUCCUGGUGGUGCGAGCGACGACGACAACAACACCCCUCCCUGCCCACCAUUGCCGGGACUAAGACCCGCAUUGUGUAAGGAACCUGCAACACCACUGAAGAAGUCGCGACCACCACCUUCAAGGCAAGUCAGCAAAAGAAGAAAGCAGAGAAGCCUAAACCCACUGAGAAGCCAGCGACUGAUAUGACCGAUGCGGAAAGAUGGAAGGCACUCAAAGAAGAAUGCAUGGAGUGGUUCAGAAAAAGGACCAAAGAAAGAAAAGGAAAGGAGAUGGAGCCACCGCCAGUAGAUCCAAGAAAAUUAUAAUUUUUUAUUAAGAUGUCAAAAGGAGCUAAGAAGAUGAUGCCACAACUAUCAAACUACGACUGGGCGUUAGUCAAGGCUGAUGAGAGUUAAAAAAGGAAAGGAAAGUCAUCGUCAAGUGGUACUGUCCCCCAGCUCGAGGAUCUACCAGAAAAAGAUGCUAAAAAGAUAGUAGCAAUGCUCUUGGAUCAACAAACACAUAUAUCGUGAGAUUAAUGCAAGAAACAGGUAUGUCCCUUGCUGAAUGUCUAUGGCAAGUUGAUAUGCUAGCUCCAGAGCCAGUUGUACCGAAAUGGACCUUUGAGCUAGGCAAGCCUCUAGUAAGGCCUGAGUUGGUACAGAAGCUAUCCACAUAGAUGCAUGAAUUCCAUGAAUGGUACAUGAAGCAGUCUGCCAAUGAGAGGGAAAUGUUCGGUCUCGAGGAAAAACUAAUAAUUUUUUUCGGCGAAGGCGAGAAAGUCGUAUGAAUCAAAUUCAAGGAUAUAUAUGAAGUGAACCAUCAGGAUGCCCUUGAUGUCUCUCUCAUCAGCGCCUAGGUUUUGUAAGUGUAUGUUUAUCUAUACGUAAAUUUUGGCUCAUAUCAUUAUUUUUUUUGCGUGCGUCACCCUACUAACUUCGUCUUCCAUUUUAUGUAGGAUGCUAAUUCAGACGUGCCGCAUAGAAGCGUACUUCCAUGUUGGCUUCAUGGAUCCAUCCCUAGUUAACCAAAAGCCGAUACGGAAGUAGCUAGAGAAAACGUUGGAGGUGGUGUACAACUUUCUGGACAAACAAAACUACAGAAUAGGGGCAAUAUGUGAGGGUCUUGUAGGAUUCCUAGUGGACGAGGUGAUAAAUCCAUAAGGAGAAUAUCAUUACAACGGACGAGCAUUAGACACACUGAGCAACACCUAGACGGGAGGAUCCUAGGAAUGACCUCAACAGAUUUUGGUAUAAAUAGUAAUUGUGUAAAUACUAGUUUGAUUUGUAUAGGAAUAUACUAAGAAUUGUAUAUAUAGUAAUUGUACAAAUACUAGUUUGAUUUGUAUGAAUACUAGAUUGAUUUUAUUAUAAAAAAGUUUUAAGUCGUACGUGCAUGCGCCUACAAAGGCGCGGAUGCCCUUUAAUCCCAGUCGGAAAAACAAACCGGUACUAAAGGGGCUCGUGCCGCACCUGGCAUGACCACCCCUUUAGUCCCGGUUGAACGACCCAGGACUAAAGAUCUCCGCGUCUCAAAAAUUUUAUCUCGGAUGCUUUUUAGAGAGAUUUGAGGCCUAUCAACCAAGACUAAUAUCGAGUUUUCUACCAGUGGAACUAACUAACGUUCACAUGCUUUUGACAUUCACCUGCCAUUUGGUGUAGACAAGGGCACCCUAACAUAUGGUUAAUAUUAUUCUUGAAAGAAAAUCCUUUGAUUCAAAAUACUUCAAACCUAAUAAUACAAUACUUCUCACAUCUCAAAAAUAUGAGACGGCCCGACAGUAUUCUAACCGACGCAAUAAUAUUUUGAGGGCAGCACUACUACAGCGACCCUCAUUCGUGCCGGUGCUGGGACUCCUAUCACGACCCUGAUACAAAUGAGGGUACAUUAUUGGUGCCAGUGCUAGAACAGCCACCAAUAACUUGCUAAACGUGCUGUUACACUCACUACAGGGACCAAGAAGGUAGAUAAAUUACACGACAUAGCCUUGGUUGCCGUGGAAGCGCCAAGAAGGGAGACAAAUUACAGGGACCACACCAUCAAGUAGAUAGUGACAAUAUGCAGAUGAAUACCCGCGCCUGUUAGCAUGUGAACUGACCACACCACGAAACGUGAUACACGGCAAGCGUACCAAGGCCUUGCUGUGCAGACUAUGCGUGGACAACACAUGGUACCUGACCGCUUUUGGCCUCAGACACAUCGAAAAACUGCAUCGUUCCACGUUGUACAUCCACUGCUAGUUUAUCUAUAUUACAUAAUAUAUUAUUAGCUAUUUGAAUAGAAUGAACCAAUUAAAAAAUUGCGUUGUAUUUUAGUACCGGCUGCAGGAUGGUGUUACCAACCAGUACUAAUUAGCCUGUAGGAGUGAUGGUUAUUAGACUUGGUACUGUUGUUACAUCAUUAACCUAAUUGUGCGCGGUAUGAAUUUGGGGAUGCAAAGCUAGCUCUCUAUGAAUGUGAGGGACGGAAAGCUAGUUCUCUAGUAGUAAUUAGCUAUAUAUAUAUGACAGUCAAGAAAUCGAACACUAUGCUGCUACGAGUCACCAUCAUUUCCUUCAUUGAGAAUCUGACAUAGGUGAAGCUGCUUCAAGAAUUUCCUUCGCGCAGUCGUGGAGCUUAUUGGAUUAUCACCAGGACGGGACACGGAAAUGGCCAGCAAUGAAGCUGAUUGCCGUCUGAGGAAGACUACAUACUUUACCUAUGAAAUGAAGCGAUUGCAUAGACUAAUGAAGCAUUGCAUAUUUGCAUGUGAGUGUGGCAGAUAAUUCUGCAGGACAUGAUUGCAAUCCACGCACCAUCGAGAAGACUGGGGCGAUGGGGUUGCCUCAUCAAUAAUCACGUGGAUGCAUGCAUGCAUGUUCCCGCAACCGGACAAGGGUCUGAUAUAUGGCUAUAGUAUUACUGAGCCCACAUCAAUAAUUUCCGCUGGUGUAUCGUGUGGGAAGAAUCAACAUACUACACCUCGAGUUCUUGGAACUAACUGACGUUCACAUGCAACCUCCACAAGGUGCUGUAUAUAUGCUUUUGACAUUCACCUGCCAGUUCGUGUAGAGGACACCCUAACGUAUGGUUAAUAUUAUCCAUUUCAUGAGUAAAAUACUGUGAUUCAAAAAUACUUCAAAUCCCUUGAGACAAUACUUCUCACUUGACUAACCACUAACCAACCCCGAAACCCUAACUCAACUCCGAACCCUAACACCUAACGGCAUAACCACUCCGUUUUGCCAGCCAGAUGGAGGAACUGGCUGGGAGGGAGAGAGGGCAGCGGUCCAGGGUUGAAAACGACGGGCGAGCGCAGUAACAUGUGGAGGAGGAAGUGCCACGUAUUCGUUCACCGCUAUUGGGCAGCGACACACAACACGCCCAAUAAGAUCUUCGCACGGUAGAAGGACGUCAUGUAUUCAAUAAUGUUAUUGGUCCUCCAUGUGCAGAAGGGCGCGUAUGGAAUAACAAGUAGGGACACUGCAACUAAUCUACUCUGCUCGUCCAGUCCCUAGCCUAUAAAUAGAUGCCAUGCUAGCUCUUGUUGUGCUCACAGUUAAUCCGAUUACACACGAGCUCCUCUCCCUAGCCAAGACACAAUCAUAGUAUGAUGAAGAACAUGGCACUAGCCGGCAAUGGUAUGAAGAAGUUAAUCCUCGCUGUUCUCUUACUGUGUCUAGUUAUAGGGCAGAUACAAGUGGAAGCUAAGAGCUGCUGCCCAUCCACCACUGCAAGAAAUGUCUACAAUACCUGCCGUUUGACGGGUGCAUCCCGUCCAAUGUGUGCAAAACUGUCAGGCUGCCAAAUUAUCAGCGGGAACAAAUGCAAGCCCCCUAACGACCACCUCACCCUUGACCCGGACACUGGUAAAUAAUAAAUUUAUCUCACUUGAUUUCUUUGUGUUUUGAGUCGUUAAUGUAUUUUCCAUCUGAUGAAACGCAUUGGUUUUGCAUUGAAGAGGAAGUUAAUGUGCUUAACUUCUGCAAGUUGGGGUGUGCGUCGUCUGUGUGCAACAACAUCAACGCUGGUAAGCACCUUUUGCUCAGACAGAGAAAACAAUAAUCAUUAAUUAGCGGCAGCUAGAAUCCUAUAAUCUAAUAUAUAUAUAUAAUUUUAUCAGCUCUGGGAAAUGAAGAGGCGAACGAUGCCGUUGAGAGUUGCGACCAAGCCUGCUCUAGCUUCUGCAGCGUGCAUGUUGGCAGCGCCACCGUGGUUGCUUAAGCAAAUGCAUCCAACUAGAUCGUCCUUGUGCUGAAUAAUUGGAUAUCGUAUCCACUUAAAGCUGCCUUGUGUAGUACGUCUUUGUGUCUCUCUUUAUAUUCCAAUAAGGUCGGUGAUCUUGAUGCCACACACUCAGAUGUGUGUUCAUCUCCAGAUACUACUCCAUGCUACCUGCCCUUUGUGUUUUGUUCAAUAACUGGGUAUCAUAUCCGAGCCAGUAUGCCGUCUGUUUUGUGUUUGUUUCCUUCUAGUUCCAAAGGGGUCAUCAUGAUGUUACCUUCUUUCAAUAUGGUGCUUUGCAUGACUACUGUUGUAUGGUACCAUCUUGUGGCCAAUAAGUACAUCUUAUCCUAUGACCCUUUGCUAUGACCCUUUGCAAAUAAGUAGAAGAUUGUUAUAAGCGUCAAUACUCAGUAUAAUUGAUCGCUGCUGUGAGUUCCCUUUCAGCUUAUCGUAGGCAUACAUUAUUGCUAGCACGGUAAAGCCAACCAACACGAAUGAUGAAGUAAACGUAGCGGUACUUCUGUAUACCAACACCCUUACUUAAAUGUACCGGUGUCAUUCCCUACUGGCACAUAUAUUCUUAUAUGCUAGCCAGCUUGUAAAAUUAACCAAUUAAAAUAAUUAUUUCAAGAUAGAAAUAACUUAUUGGCUUCUCGAAGCAUGUGUAAUGUGAAUUCAUGAGACUUCAAGCAACCAGGAAAAGACACUAAUAAACAUCCAGAUCCCAUCCAGCACACAUCCAUGCACAUAUAUAACCCACAUAUUGCUCCAGCACACAUCCAUGCAUAUACGAUAUCCAAAUGUUAAUAUUGUAGACAUCCAUGCCUGAACUAGUCUGCCACACAAGUCAUUGAUGCUACAAAUUCUACAAUCGCAGCAUGUGCAUACAACUUACAGAAUGAGAUAAUGUACCAAAACUAAAACGUUAGCAUCAACUGUGCUUCAACCAAAGUUGUCAUCCCAACUCUCCUCUUCAUCCAUGCCAUUCUUGUCAUGGCCGUCGCUGUCAGUCUCCAUGGCAUUGCCAAUGCUGUGUAUGUCUUGGUAGGAACCUACAUGUGAUGAACAGUAACCUGCAAAAAGAGCUCAAAGGAUCUUGUUCUCAUAUUGUAGCUGUGAAAUUCUUGCAAGUAGUGUUGCAAUCUGUUCACUUUGAACCAAAAGAGCUCAAAGGAUCUUGUCCUAAAAGUUCCUCUUAAAGCUUAUGGGUUUGCUGGUGGAACCGGAAGGGCUUGAUGCAGCAGAUGCCAUUCUGCAAUAGAGAAAAAUUUAGAGGGCAGUACUAGUUAAAAUUUGAUGCAGCAGAUACACACGAAACUAGUAUUUAUACAAUUCUAUAUAUGUAAUAAUUUGUCCCCUAAAUUUUUAGGAUCCUCUUGAUGGUGGUGAGUCUUCCAGUAAGGCAAUUGAAUGUCCGUCAUAAUAAAAUUCUCCUUAGGAUUUAUCAUCUCGUCAACCAGAAAUCCUAGGAGUGCUUCUUGGAUUGCCAAAACCCUAUCCUGAUGCAGGAGUUCGUCCUUAAGCCUUAACAUUUGUAAUUUGGAAAUAUGUGAAAGUUAAACCAACAAUUAAAAUAUAAGGAGCCUUAUCAUCAUUUCCAUGUGUUGCGAAUUAAAAUAAUGAAUAAUACAGUGUUAGGUGAAAAUUCAAGAAACAAAAUUUUGCAUAGAGAUAAACGUCCAACAUUAUUACAAGUUAAGGUAGUUUUAAAUAUCCUUGUAAUCUUCCUUUGAUUUCCUCAACGAUUCGAAGACAAUAACCUUACUUCUAUCAAUGAUAAUUAUAAGGAGAACCCAGUGAAAACUGUGUAUUCAUAUUAGAACUACCUAAGGUUAAUUAGGUUAGGAAAGGAAAUCGAAAAUAGAUGGUACCCACACUUACUUAAAGUUGUCGGGCAAUAGUAUGUAAUGCUUGUAAUUCCGUUGCUCCAAGAAUUUGUAUAUGUGGUCCAAUGUAGACUUUGGUUGAUUCCGUAUCUGCUGUUGGUUAAAUAAGUGUUUCUAGCCAUUACUAGCCGUUAGAACUCGGACUAAAGGGGGCUCUUUAGUACGGGUUGAUAUUACUAAUCGGGAUUAAAGAGCCCCCAUUAGAGUUGGUUUUUGGACGCGGAACUAACAACUCCUUUAGUCCUAAGUACAAAAAUGACUGAAAUAUUUGUUGCUGGAUGGAAGGUCCUUUCUCUACCAUGAAUAUUGCCAGAAAGAAUUGAAAGAGACUGCUUGCUAAAAAUAUGUCAUAGAUGUAGACCAAGCUACCAAGGAUGUAGACCAAACAUGAUACACACCAUGCGUACCUUGCUGUGCAGACUAUGCAUUGACAAGAUAGAAAUAAUUAAUUCUAAUAUGCGUACCCUUACUUACACUAGUAGAGAAUUGGGCUUUAAUCCCGGUUGGUAAGGUGCAAAUAUCUCGAAAAUGCAUCCGGGAUAAACCAACCGGGACAAAAGGGGGAUCUUUUAUCCCGGGUCACUCAACACGCGAUUUUUCACAAAAAAAAAA
rnacentral:lncRNA from 1 species